UUUUUUUUUUUUUUUUUUUUGCUAUGGUCUAGUGACGAUGUUCUAUUUAAAAUCCUUGACAAUCCAUCAAUUGUCCUCAAUUAACCAAAUCUAUUAAACUAUGAUGAUAAAAUGUGUUCGUGUAAAACUUUAAGGGUGAAAUUAGUUAAAAUUAUAAAAUUACAAAGAUAAAAUAUGUUUUACGUGAAACUUUAGAGACGAAAUUGAUUAAUACCUUAAACAUUAUGGAUGAAAAGUGCAUUUUUCCCUUUAUCUUACUUGAACCUAAAAAUGUAAGAGUUGUGGAGCCAAUAUAAUUACAAUUUACCUUUAGAUAAUUAUUAAUUAAUCAACAUGUACUACAUUAUUGCGCUUAAUUUUUUUUUUCCUUGGAUGUCAUAUCAUAAGCCUUUUGGGAUACUCCUCAAAUUAGCAACUGGGCAGUUAACUACAAAUAAAAAAAAUUGGAAUGUACGAUAGCUAUCGUACAACAAAAUUGCGAUCGCACGAAUCAUAAGCCUAUUCUUUUCUUGUACGAUAACGGGCUGUUGUACGAUAGCUGUCAAUCAUUUACAUUAAACAAGGAUUUGUAAGCCUUUUCUUUCCUUGAUUAACCAAAAAAAAAAAAAAAAAUUGUGUAAUACUACACAAAAAUAAAAAUAAAAACCAAGAGAAGAAGACUCUAUAGGCAAAUUCAUUGGAAGUGAAUGAAGCCCAUUAUCUUCUAUUUUGAGAUUUCCUCCCCCACUCAGAGAGAGAGAGACAACGCUUAGUUGCCCUAUAAAAAUCAUCAUAAAGCAUGUCAUUAAACGUAAUCUUCUAUAAUAGAACCCUUUGUAAUUCUUAAUUUUGCUUUCCUUUUCUUCUUCAACAUUUCAACUAGGCUUUGUUCUUUCUGCCCUAAAAUUUCACAAGAAAUGCAUCUUGAGAUCAGGGCUGUAUCAGAUAAAUCAAGCCCUUUGCAACUAUGAUUCCAUCCCUCCCACAGGCUCUUCCAGUCUUGCACCAUCUUAGUCCUCCCUCUUCCAGUCUUCAGCUAACCAUCCCAAAAGCUCUUGACCAGGUCACUCCCUCUGGACUCCAUUUAAAAAAGGUUAGUGCUUAGUUCAUGAUCCACAAGUUCAGACCCACUUCCAUCAUCAAUCAUGCACCAAAUGCAACUAUAAAACAAACCAGUAAGUCCCAAAUCUUCUGUCAUAUGUGCCACUUGCCACAUUAAGUAUUCAAUUCUAGUACAUAUCUUAUAGAUCAUAAACAUCAAUAGUGUUAAAAAAAUUAGCACACAAUUUACGCCGCGGCAUGCUCAAGCACAAUGACAAUCUGACUUCAAAACCAUAUGUUAGCAAGUGCCAUGAAAAUCACCCACCCAAAAAAAAAAAGAAAAAAGAACCAUGAAAAUCCAACUUUGAAGCAUCAGUACUAUUUUCCAAUCCUAUCGGCUUAGGGACCACUUUCUCCAUCAGCAAUGCAAAAUGUCAAUGCUUAUGACCAUGACAGAAUCUCAAACAUCAUGGUAGCUCUGGUAAAAUUAAACGACUCUACCUCAUAUGAGAGUACUGAUGUGACCGUACCUAUCUUCACACAAUCUUGAUCAAGUACAGUCCCCAAAAUUUUUAACCAACACUCUGACCGUACGGGAGUGGUUGACAAGUAGACUUCCCUGCAGAGAGAGUUUUUAACUUUGAAGAUAUAUUUAUAUAAUCCUUGAAUAGAUGAAGCAUUAGAGAUAAGACAACAGUAUGCUAUCCAAUUGUCAUGCUAAAUUAAGAAAUGAUUUCUCAGUAAGUACAAAACUACUCACCACAUAAGCUGCAAUAAUUUAUUUCACAUGACUUGAUCUUUGAAGAGGAUGUGAACCGUACAAUGAAUUUGAACUACCAAAUUGUUGUAAGGUUGCUGUCAGUGUCAGAUUGGUUUAAAGAAGCCAAUCCAAACACCUAAGAUUGGUUAUAACUUCCCUUUUCACCACCUAAAACCAUUUCACAAUUCCAUAGGGCUCAGGCUAAAGCAUGUUAAAUGUGAGACCCUGAAAACAAAAAUAUUAACACCUGCUACGAGAACACUAGAGCUACCAUACCAACUUCUGUUAAAAAUCAUAAAACAAAAAUUUUCAUUUCAAGGAAUAACGCAUCAAUUUGUCUAUCUCAAACUAUGUGCGUAUAAAAGGCUGUCCAUGAGCCAGUAAAAUGACUACGCCCAUCCAAGGUGAGGAAACCAUAACGAAGACCACAAACCACAAAAUCAGACAGCAAUAGGAUAUUAAUAACAAACACGUUUAGAACAAGAAUUUGAAAAACUACAGGCAGUGGAACAACUGAUAUAAAUCAAAGUAUCAAAAUGUACAAGAUCCAACUCUUAUAGAGAUGCUAUUCUUUUGACUUUUUUUUGUGGUUUUUAUUUUUUGGAGAGAAAGAGAAUUGAUCAGAUGCAUGAACUACAAAACAAGCAAGUUCUUUGGAAGGACUUGGGUAGGGUAGCAAAUGAUAUCAAGAAAUGUGGGUUCAAGACUUCAAAAGCAAGUAAGGCAAUACAGGGACCAUAGAAGAAAAAUUUUUCUUCUUUGAGCACAUGGAAAUUAACUGCAGAAUCUCUACUUUUCAUUUCCCUAUUGUCUGGUGCAGACAUAAUUGGCAAAAUGCUGAUUUCACCAACUAAAGCCAGGGUCUCAACAUAGGUCAAAAAGAAUAAAUAGGUCAGUUUAUAGUUUUAUUUACCCAUCUCCAUGCUUCUUUUUCUUAACUGCAUCCAUCCAAGAGUAGGAGUCCAUUAGAAUCUUACCUUGCAAUCUCAACAUAUGACUCUGUACCCAGCAGUGUCCUUUCACAAACUAACCUUUUCAACUAAUUUACCAACUUGAACUGCUCCAGAACCUCAGAACCCAUUCCACUCUGGUUUCUCCAGGACACAGAGGUGUACUUACACAUAUCUUGAUUUCUUCUUUCAAAAGAUGAGCUAAGUUUUUAAGAGUCCUUAAUUUUUUGAACCUGGGCUGUAGCUGAGUAAAGUAAACAAUAGGUUCUUGCAAGAACAUAAAUUCCACAUGCAUAAAUAAAUCAUGAAAGGCUUUUAAUUUAGUAAUUUAACUGCUAAUUCACAUCAAACUUCGAUUCUAGGAACUAUCAAAUUUAAAAUCAUACAAGCAUAUAAUAAGCAUUAUUCUAAAAAAAAGAUGCUAACUAGAAUAUAAAAGAGUCACCAGUAGUGCAUGAAGUCAAAAUCCUAAAUGGUGGUGCCUAAACUUGCAAAUAGUAUUAGGAUGAAUCUUUUCUACACUGUCAACGUUGGAUAAAUGACAACUAUGCAAAAUUUGAAUUUGAAAUUGAACUUUUGCACACGUCAUUAAUCCAAUGGUGAUAAUGUAUACACUAUCAAUAUAUAUAAGAUUUACUCAUAGUAUUAUUGUCAUCCUUUUGUCUGCAGCAAUCCUGGAAUUUUCCCAACUUUUAGCCACAGCAGGACUUCAAAGGCUGGUAUAGAGUGGAGAACCAAUUAUGAAAAUGCAAACUAAUUUAUAGACACAGUCACAUAUCUAGUAUAGCCAGGACCAGAGUUUUAUGCUCUUUCUGCUCGUAAAACAAACAACAAGCAAGCUUUCACUGGUGUAAUCGGAACAGCAACAUGCAUAUAAUACAUGUAACCAUAAUUUCUCUCUCCAAAAUGCAUUUUGACAUACAAUUCUGGUUAGAUUAUCAUCUAUGGUGAUCAGUAAUUAAAUAGAUGAAACACAUGGAAGAAAAGUAAACAAUUACAUACGACCCCACGACUUACAUACAUGAGAUUUUCAGUAACUUAAGCAUUGGGGAGAGGUCUACAAAUAGGUUUGACUUGGUUGUUAAAUCCACAUACAUAAGUUUACCUAUCAAACAUGUACACAUACCCAGAGAUAUUUUGCCAUUUUAUACAGAUAUUUUAGACAGAGAUGUGGUAUCAUAACUGAUUAUCCCAGUCUCAAAUAAAUAUUCAGAAGUCCACCAAAUACCACAAAUUUAAUAUACCUUAUAGUAUGUAUUUUGCUUCAAACUAUGUCCUUUUAAAAGUAUCCUCUUCAAAUACCAAUUCUAUCUAUUAAUCCCAUAAACCAUUCUGCUGGUUAAAUAACUACAUAAUAAACAGCGUGAAUCAAUAAUGUGUCAAAAGCCAUACCUAUGCACAUGCUCCACUGGUUUGGAUUGGAAAAGAAAAAGAAAAACCACAUUUGAGAUUAGGUGCAUCAGUCCAUUAGACAAACUACUAACUUGCCUAAAUUCAUUAUGUUCUUUAAAGUAAUUGUACAAAUUAUGGAGUUAUUCAAUCCAAUUGACAGUUCAUCGGGUAUUUCAAGGCCAAUGAUAAUUCAUUGCGACUACUGGCAGAACCAGAGGUAGGUUGAGAUUUUCUCUUCCACCCCCUCCCCCUUUUUUUGUGUGGGGGGGAAGGGGUUGUUUGCAGGGGGAGAGGCGCUACACAGUAAAGAUGUAAUACUUGAGAGGGCACCCUUACAAGUUUGUAAAAAAUUCGUGGGACAAAAGAUAAUACUUACAAGGAUAUGAAUUGAAACCUUUUAAUAUUAUAAGGGGAUUAAAAAGGAUUUCCAAAAUCUUGGGUGGCCAAAGUUUAAUAUAUAACCAAAAAUUUUUAAUUUUUUAAGGAGAUAUAGAAGAAUUUUUAGAAUCUUGUAGCAGAGGGAGGGGGGCCUGCCACUCUGCCCCCCUUUACAUCCGCCAGUGACUCUCAGACAAUCUACUGCAAAGGCAGUUCAAGAUGGUAAAGUGCAUUUUCCCUGAUACUUAUCAAGAAGUUUACCAUGCCAGCAUCAACCUUUUCAAGGAUGAUCAAAGCAAUAUCAUCAUGGUUUACUGGUUUAGUGCACGAUCACGGAGUAACAAAGUAGAUUCAUUCAUUCACGUAUCUACAACCCAUAAGAUAGUAUAUAUAACUGACAGCAGAGGGUAGAAACUGAAUUAUUAGAUUUAUUUAUUGAGAGGUUAGGUAACCCUGAAUUCACCUUUUCUUUUCAACAUCUCCUCUAACUGCCUGUCAUUUUACCAUACCUAUAAUGCAAGAAGAACCAAAAAAGAAACAAAAGCAAGUGGGGCACCACAAAGUCUAUUAAUAGUUGUAUAUACAACAUUUACAACCAUGGUAAUGACAUAUAGAAGAAGGGGUACUAAUCCAGCACUGAUCAAGAGCUAACAAAGAGCCUAAUUUGUAAGCCUAGGUCACACCACUUUCAUGCCAUGUGCUUUUGAGGAGCAAAGGACCAACAUGGACAACUCCUAACAUGACUCGAGACCAAAUCCUGGCAUUAACAGAAAACGAGCUUUUGUGCUUUGACUUCCUUUGCACUAGCUAUAACCUUUUCAAAUUGUGUAUGAUCAACUUGAGAUUCAUAUCACAAAAUCUAGCACUACUGGUAACAAUUGUGGACAAAAAUAUCAGGCGUUACAAGAUUUCUUUUCCUUUAUUUCUUUUUUUUUUAUUCUGGAGGGUGGUGGGAAGGUGGAAGGGAGCAGGAGGGAGGAGGAUUUUGGAAGGGACUGUCUUGAAAUAUUCAAAUCUUCUUUGUGCAUGUGUAACUUUUUCAAACUUGGUGGCACAGGGCUCCAACACUAUCUGUAGCCUUUGGUCCUUGUCCCCUUUGAAAGAGAUGCUAUUUCAGUCUACCAAACCCAUACCCUCCUAGGAUUGGACCACAAUUGGGCAAUCAUAAAACCAUGAAAAACCUAGUAACAAUACUUGGUCAUUUUCAUUUGACUCUAAUCUGCCUAUUUCAGCCUGCUAAAGAUUACUUCAAACUGAUUCCAUGCCCCCAACUUGCAUUUCUUUCCUAACUACUGAGUCCAGUAAAAAUCUUUUACGUAGAUCAACCAUCAAGGCAACCAGUUUCACUUUUUGUCCCUUAAAACUCUAAACAGAGCCCAAAACUUAUCCGAAGCCCAACCCUCCCCCCUCCCCCCCACAAAAAAAAAAAUUUCCCAUAUAUUUUACAUUGAUCAGAAGCUAAGUCUGGGGCCAUCAAGAAGAAAAGACAUAAACUUUAAAAAAUUUCUUAACCUCAUUUAAGAUUUUCCAGCAGUCAUUCUGUCAGUCCCAUACUUAUCUGCGAUCAUCCAUUCUCCAGCAUCCAUCAUAUUUUACAGCUUGGAAUUUAACUUCAUGAAGCCCUCAUUCCCUUGUGAAUCUUUACAGUUAUCAACCUCUGAGGAACUUUUAUACAACAUCAGCUUACAUCAGCUCCCUGAUUACUUAUCCUUACACCAUGAAUAGAAACUGCAUCACAAUGAACCAAAACUGAUUGUAUUGACUCUUCACUGCAUUCUUGGCAAGGAAUAGCAUAAGACUUUCAAGUUUUUAACUUCAUUGGAGUUUAACUUCAUGAAGCCCUCAUCCCAUUGUGAAUCUUUACAGUUAUCAACCUCUGAGGAACUUUUAAACUACAUCAGCUUACAUCAGCUCCCUGAUUAGUUAUCCUCACACCAUGAAUAGAAAUUGCAUCACAAUGAACCAAAACUGAUUGUAUUGACUCUUCACUGCAUUCUUGGUAAGGACUAGCACAAGACUUUCAAGUUUUUAAAUAACUCCAGUAAGUGAAUUGCGAGUUGUGGAAAAGUCCCUCAUUACCCCUGCAGCUACAGAAAAAUUCCAAAAAGCUUGAUUUCACAGCAGAAAAACUGUCAUGGUUGACAGGCAGAAUUUGAUUUAUCCAAAAGACAUGUUAAGAGAAACCCCAAAUUUGGACUUUUAUGGACUUUAGUGUGAAAACUUUAGACAAAAAUACAACAAAAGAAGAAGAAUAAAUUGAAAAAGUACAUCUUAUAUCAUCACUAUUCAAUUUGGAGAAAAAUAUACACAUGUGCGACAAGUGUUGCAACCAAAUGUCAUUUAACAUCCACAAAGAACAAUGCUUUGCUACUUAGAAAUACCUUUUCAGGCAAUACAGUUUCUAGAUAGGCGGCAAUUUGCUACUAGGCCCAUAGCCUUUUACAAUUCCUACUCUUUCUACAUCCAAACCAAAAAAAAAUAAAGGUAUCAAAAAGUAUCUGAUACCUGAAACUUGUGAAUCACAAUGCCUAACCAACAUCAAAAGAAUAAGCCAUAUAGGCAUACAAAGGUCAUGAGCCCAUCUAGCAUGCUCCAAAUGUCUUCCCAAGGACAAGAAAACCUAGCAAUUCAGACCUAGAAUGUGAAUUUUGAUUUACUCCAAAGUACUAAUAAACUAGCAUGUCAGUCUACUCUCAAAAAGUUUCUUAGGUACCUUACACUAAAUUAAAACCCGAAACCAGAAGUAUCCUGUAUUUGCAUAUGGAAGAUGCUCAGUAGCAUGCCUGAUAUAAAUCCUUCCAGAACCUAACUCUUCGUGAAUCCACCUAGCAACAUUGUACCUCAACAGCAUCAUUCAAAUGCAAGCAAUAAAUACAGAUGAGCCCUGACAAUCCCAGAAUCUCCCAAAUAAAUUAAUCCUCUUGAUCAAUGAAAGGAAUCUUUAAGUCAAUAUGCAGACUUGUGAUUGACAAUCCAUUACCCACAAUGAAGAAGAUUUCAACAUCAUAAGUUUAUUUAAAAAGCAAACUGAUAGGUUUGAGAAAUGUUGGUCAUUCAUAAGUUUAUAUGAUGUUUCGCAUUAAAAGCUGACCAUUUCUUAUUCAUAUGUGAGAUCCUUAUGGGACACUUCAAAUUGCAUAUUUCUACAUACUUGCUUCCUGUGUUACUAUUGUAAAGCGUCACUCUUUAAAAUGGUUUAAUAGAACAUAUCUAGACAUUAUGACUUUGCUCCAGUUAAUAGGGAAAAAGAAGAAACUAACAAAAGUCACAAAGUAGGAAUGAUGACAAUAUAUAAGCUUCUGAAUAAGGUAUUCCACUGUUUGUGCUCAUUGCAUCUACAUGAAAAUAGCAAUAGCUGAAUGUACAAAAAGACAUCCACUGAAAAUGCAUAAGCACUAUAAUGCACAUAACUGACAAAUGCAAAAAGAUUUUAAAGAAAUAGAAAUUGUAAAAAUAUCUAUAAGCAGAAAAAUGCGGGGUCAAGGAAUUACCAGCAAUCAAAAACCCCUAAAUCUUGAAUCGUUUUAGCAAAUUCAGGAAGGAGAAUCCACAAAAAUCCAUUCAAUUAGACUUAAGAACCACAUAUUGCCAAAUCCACUACAAGGCAGCAUCAAUCUGGACCAUCAUUUAUAUUUCCAAGGGCACUUUACCCAGAUUUAGGAUCAUCAUUUUGAAGCCUUUGUUUGGUAAUAGAAAAUCUGCAUUUUAUGGGUUAACAGGUAUAUCUUCUCAGCUGCAAUUUGCAGCAAAUGACUUGAACGCAGUCUGCCCAUAACAUGCAAAAGAAGUCACACCAGUGUAUGACAAAUCAGAGUUUUGCACUCUCCAAGCUUUACUUAGCAAGAUCUAACAUUUUCUGAAACAACAGACACAGCCACACUUCACUGCCACAUUCACACCUAUCUUGAGGGCAGAGGAGAGAGAAGCAAGCAAAAAUCCUGUCAAGGUGGUAAGUAAUACAAUCAAGCAGAAUACUGUUAGAGCUAAACCAAUGCACAAGCAACAAGCAGAAGUGUCCUUGCCUUUGAUUACUGAAAUAUUUGGCCCUGGGUUAAACAAAUUUUAACAACCAAAAGUACAUUGUAUGUAACCAUUGAAACUUAUAUCAGACAAUAAAAUCUCUAUCCUUUUGUUUACACUUUACAUGACAUUCAUCUCCAGACAUUUCCAUGGGUACAGAUUGGUUUCACGCUUCAAAAUUGGUUUCAUCUUCAUUACUUGAGUGAUUCUGUUCUGAAUACCCUCUUCAAUUUUCUUGCAGUAUUUUCUGUCUAAAACAUUGAUCUGACUUGAAGACUUUAAAGCAUCUUGAACUAACGUAUAUGUAUACUCUCUGGGAAUUGAUCCUUGCUCUACCAACUCAACUAGAAAAUCCCAUGCCUCCACAACCCUUCCUGCUUCACAGAAAGCAUGAAUUAUCGGAGUAUAUGAACUAGUUGUUGGGGUUGCAUGAUUCAGUUCUUUCAUUUUCUUCAGCAUCUCAAUUGCCCUAUCAAUUUCAUUCACUGCACUGUAAUACCUGAUAAAAGAAUUAUAAGUAACCCUAUUAGGCAAACAGCCUCUCUUAAUCAUAUCAUCAAGCAACUCCAAUGCCCUCUCUAUCCUAUAAGUCUUACAGCAUCCAUUAAUCAAACAAUUAUAAGUCACAACAUCAGGAACAAACCCUUUAAACAUCAUUAUACGAAACAAGUGAUUCGCCUCCCACAAACGCCUCCUGGUGGCUUUCUUAACACCAGUUUCCAUACCAUAUCUACAAUAAGAACUAAUCAAAAUUGUAUAAGUAAAGGUAUCAGGAGGACAUCUAAAACCUGGCAACUCCAUUUGUUCCAACAAAAGCUUAGCUUUCUUAAAAUUCCCAACCCUACAAAGGGCAUGAAUCAUGGUAUUAUAUGCAACAACAUCAGGCUUACAAUGAAAUUGCUUCAUCCUAUAAAAUGCAGCCAAUGCUUCAUUAACCAAUCCCUCUUCCCCCAAAACCUUAAUGACACAAGUCAUAAUAGAAGUAUUAACAAUCCCUUUUCUUGACAUCUUUCUAAGAAAUUCCCAAAGGGGUUUUAAGCUAAUCCCCUUUACCAAAACAAGGGCCAUUUCUUUGCAAGUAAACUCACUGUGAAUAAACCCAAAAUGGGAUUCAACCCAAUAGUAAAAGUCAGUAGCUUUUUUCAAUCCAAGAUUGAUUUUUUCUUGGUUUCUAUGAGCAGCAGGGCCAAGAACGAGUAUACCCUUUUGAGCUUUGAAUGAUUCAAUCUUAAGGCUUCUUUGUCUCAGUGGUGCCCGGUGGCGAAAGCCCUUUUGACUGCCAAUUGAUCUCGGGGAUUGAAACAGGAAUCUUGGGAUGAAUCUUAGAACUUCAGUAACUGUUUCUGUUGUCCAAAUUGGAAUUUUGGCUUGUGGGGUGUUUUGCACUGAGGCUGAGGUUGAAAUGCUUGUUUCAAAAGGUUGGUUUUUUAUUAUUGCAGCCAAAAUUUGAUUUACAAAAGGAGUUUGAGAGGGAGAACGAUGAAGAGGUGCUGAAGGAUUCAUCAUUCAUGUAGCAGUACUAUUUCUUUGCCCCAAAAAAAAUGGUAGUGAUGAUUCCUCCUCCGUUGGUAAAAGUAGUAGAACAGCCAAAAAAAAGUAGAAGAACAGCCAAAUGACCAAAAAGUGCCGUCGGGGCAAGGGGCACUUGCACUGUUUAACCGGACGUGACUCUGAGGAGGCUGUGUUAGAUGAUAAGGUAAAAUAAAUUAUAAGAAGGAAAUAUUGAAUUUAAAAUAUUUAUUUGAAAAAGAAAAAAGUCCGACUUCUGAGUUGGUGGAGUCAAGAUAUGGCUCCACCAUUCUAUUUUAGGAUAAAAUGAUAAUUCUAAACUUUUUUAAUGCAUUACUCAAAUUUAUUUAUACCCUAUUUAAAUUUAUUUACACUAUUUCAAUUUGUUUACACCUUAAGAAAUUUGGUUUAUGAUAAAACUUUUGAAACCCGUCCAUGUGGAAAUUGGGACGGAGGGGUACGAGGCAUCUACAACUGCUUAUGAUAAUAAUGUGUAAUGUAAACAGUAUAAGAAUAAAUGUAAACACUAAUGUAAUACUAGUUUAUUUGUAUCUCAUGCAAUGCAUGAGGGUGCCCAGUUUUUGCUAAAGUUAUUAGUUAUGUGUGUGGAAUUAAGAGUGGGUGUGUGCAAAUUUGAUGAUGAAAGAGUUAUAGUUCAGAAUACAUAAGUACAUUGUUUUAUAGCAGUAUGUACAUGAUCAAAAGUUGGUCAUUACAGGAUAGAAAGAUAAAAAGAGUAGACAAAAGCACUAUUUACAUUAGCAAAAGUAGAUGGUUGCAUGGUAGAAAACUAAUGUAACAGCUAUUGCAAAGAGCAAAACAUAGGUGGGGUACAUGGUUUUAGACAUAGUACAAAAAAAAUACACUAAAUUUGCAUUUGGAGCAUUUUAGACAGACAUGCAACUUCACUGGCCUCCAAUUGCUUCCAUGUAAUAUGGCAACAAAACCAAUGUACCAGUAACCCAACUCAAUAUGUACAAUAUUAAUAUGUUAAGAUGAAAUUCCAAAUUUAGCCACCUAGUCAUGCUACUCAUAUUCAUAAGCCAACUCCCUUUUUUAUACCUUUUAGGAAAUAAAGACAGUAAUAUGAUAACAUGUAAAAAUAGUACAAAUUUUCUUAUUGCUUGAAAUUUGUGUCAAAAAUUAUGUUAAGGUCUACAUUUAUUUUUUGAAUAUCUACAUAUAUUGUUUUAGUGUCUAUACUGCAUGGUGGAAUUGCCAUUGAUAAUUGUGUAAUCCCUUGAUUCGAUUGUAAAUAAAUGACCAAAAGAAUACGUGAAGAGAGGGAACAAAUCUUUUUUUUUUGGGUUCAGCCAAGACACGAUGCCGUUCAAGAGAAAGAAGCCCUUUUGUUAUCAUUCCACAUUUAAAAUCGUGCAAAAUAGUUUAAGGCAAAUGCUUGUAGUUUAAGGCAUUAUUUGUUUUGAAGGAAUGGUAAGGAAAGGAAAGAAAUGGGAGGGAGGGAUGGGUUGGGUGGUACGGGGGGAGAGAAUAUAAGCAAGAGGUCUCGGAUUCGAAUUCUCCUACUUACACAAAAAAAAAAGAAAGGAAAGGAAAGAAAGGAAAUAGAGGCUAAUUGAUUAGAAUAUUGCUGUAAAAAAAAAAUUCAGAACUUACAGAUCUGACAGAGGUGUAUAAAACUAUGUCCCGGCACCUGACACCCAAAAUUUUUUUUAAAAAAAAGCCCCAUGGGUACCGGGCUGACACAGCCCGACACCUGACUGUGUCAGCCCGGUACCUGACCAAAAAAAAAAAAAAAAGCGUCUAACAGACAAUGCUAUUCUUAUGCUGCAUUUCAGCGAAACAUCCAUGGCCUUUCUGCGAUCAAGUUGUCGUAUAUGUCCGUGGGACCCGAAGUAUUGGUUGGCCAGGCUUGGCAAGAAGGGGAAGCACUGGAACACGUUCCUACAAAGCUUUGCGGAGAGAUUUUAAUGGUUAAAGGACAAUUCUGGUGGUGAGAUGGGUCAUUUCAGUUCGGCGUGAAUACGCACACCUUGAUUAUGCUACUGUUGAAGACCGCUGAAGGGACUGAACUUCCCGACGUGUUGGACCCCGGAUGAGCUCACCUCGGUAUGACUUCCACCAAAGGCCAAGGGUCAGAGAUGUGUCCCUGGCCAUGUUCUCUUGUCAGAUGAUGGGACGGACAGGCUCAGGUACAGCUCGACACCUGCCAGGGUUUGGAACUAUUGAUGGGACCCACUGUCGCCGCCAAUCUGUCAAGUAAAGCUGACAGUUUGGGCGUGGCAGUCCCUAGGGAACGGGAUCCUCUCAAUCCUCUCUCUCUCUCAUAUAAAUCCUUUUAAGACCCCUCAGAAAAGGUUAAGACCUCUGAUCUAACUCAGUAACUUGAAUUUCACCUCUAAAAAGUAACUAAUUAGUGCUUCGGAGGAGAAUCAGGGGAUUUAGCUCCGCAUUUUUUGCAGCUUGAGCAGGUGACUUUUGAGGAGUUGCAUUUCUCACCUAAGGACACUCCAGCCGGAAAGGUAAAGCCUGAGCAAUCAAAAAUCACCUCUUCAAUUGGCGCCGUCUGUGGGAACGAAUGUAUCUCAGAAUGAAGCCCGCGCGUUCUAGGAGUAGGAAGCUUCUCACCAUUGGGGCUCAGCCGAGCACUGCGGUCCAGGAAGAAGAUAUGGCCGAGGGACAGGGAUCCCCAGGGCCCCAGCCUGCAAACGAAGAAGCCAUGGCCAAGAUGGCCAAAUUUGUGGUAGAAAAUCCUAAAGUCUUUGAGAAAUUAGGGAGGUACUUUAAGAGGCAAGGCAAACAAAAGGCCGAGUCCUCCAAGAGAAAAUUAGAUGAAUCUCCCGAGCCUCUAUCUGAUGAGGAAUCUGAUGGAAGACACUUGGCCAGGAGCACUUCGAAGCGAGCCAUGUUUAAAGCUACUUCCAAAAUUGCUUCUUUAUCCAAGGCUUUUUCGCGAGAUUUGUUACAAAGGAGGGCUGAUGAAGAACCCCGGCCCUGGGAAGGUCCGGAGUGGAUUACAUGAGAGUUCCGUCCUUCACAGAUGAGAUCAACGAGGAGAGGUUUCCGUCAAAUUUCAAACUCCCCACAAUAGCAUCCUACAACGGUCGAGGUGAUCCGGAAGACCAUAUUCACGCGGUCAUCUCGGCAUUCCGAUUAUAUUGCAUCCCCGACCCUGUUAUUUGUCAAGCUUUCCUGGUGUUUUUGCAAGGGACAGCUCGAAAAUGGUUUUGGGGCCUAAAGCCGAGGAGCAUAUCCACCUUGGGGGAACUGGUGGAAAAAUUUCUUCAUCGUUUUGUAUCCUCCAGACCUACGACCAAGAUCUCGGCGUAUCUGUUGAAUAUACAGUAGAACCCGGACGAGUCACUUAGGUCUUAUGUGCAUAGAUUUCAGGACGAGAGCGUGCAGAUACCCGACCCCAACGAGCAGGUGACGAUAGCUGUCUUUACUAAUGGACUUGUGCUCGGAACGUUCCACACCGCGAUACACAAGAAAUAUCCUCGCACGCUCCAAGAUCUCUAGUUGAAAGUUGAAAAAGGCAUACAAGCCGAAUACCUCAAUUGUAUGAAGAAAGAAGCCCAAGCAGCUCGGCCGAGAUCUGACCCCAGGCGGAGGGAGUCAAAUCAAGGUGAGGCCGGAAACAGCAGUGGUUUCCAGAGCCCCGACCUAGACCGCCGGAGCGUCUUCGACAGAAUAGCCAAGGGAAAGCAGCCGGUAUCGGAAGCCGAGUUAACUCCCUUGAACACCAGCCGAUCCCGUGUGCUGUCUGUGAUGGACCAAAACGGAUUUGGGCGAGCUCCUCCAAAGAUGAACGGAAAAAAGGAGAGGAGAAACCCUAACUUGUACUGUCUAUACCACCGAGGUGUUGGGUAUGAGACAGAGGACUGCGAUGACCUCAAGAAGGAGAUAGAGCGUUUCAUUAAGCAGGGUUACCUAAAACAAUUUGUCCGACGGGAUGCGAGUUGCAAUAGGAGCGAAUCUCGUCGCAAAAGCCGCGGAGACCAACGCCGAGAUGACAGGCGAGGUGGAAGAAGCAGUUGCUGACCCCUGGAGGGUCCCAAGGAUGCCAGGAGGCCCCCCGAGAUGGGUCUCCUAGUCAUGGGCCCGGUUAUGGCACCGGAUAUGGGCCCAAUAUCGCUGGAGUUAUUAACACCAUAGCCGGUGGUCCGACGGGAGGAGACAGUUAGGCUGUCUAACCCGGAAGAGAUCCUACAGACAUGCUAACCUAGACGUAACUGGGCCGAGUUCUCGGCUGUCUGAAGUGAUCACAUAUGGCUCAAGUGAUCCCGUCCAGGCCGCAUCCAGCAACCAUGAGGCCUUGGUGAUCGAGGUACUCGCCAACAAUUACAUCGUCAAGAAAGUGUACGUUGAUCCAGGAAACUCAGUAGACAUCAUGUACUAUCGAACAUUCGAAAAUCUAAAUCUGACAAGAGAGCAGCUCAGCCCAGUCAGGACACCUCUUGUGGGUUUUUGGGGACACGUUGUCCACCCCGAGGGAAUGGUCACGUUAACGGUGACCGUCGGCCAUCAACCUCGGUGCCGAAUCAUCCCGGUUAAUUUCGUGGUGGUCAGGGCCAAUUCCCCAUACAACCUGCUUAUGGGUCGGCCCACCUUGAACGCUUUGCGAGUUGUGUGCUUAAUGUACCACUUAAGUUUCAAGUUUCCAACUCUCGCGAAAAUGGCUGAGAUUAGCAGCGAUGUUUGUGCCGCACGAGAGUGUUACCUCGCUACCUUGCAGGCUGCGUCUUCGUCGACGUCUGAGCCGAGGACCGAGGGCAGGAGGUCUAACAUUCUGUCAAUAGACUGCAUCGAUCCUCACCAAUCCGUGAAGCCUCAAAGGCUGGAGACCGGAGACGAGGUCGAGGAUGUUAUAUUGACUCUUACUAACCCCGAUCAAACCGUCCGCAUCUGCACAAACUUGUCCGAACCGAUCAAAAGCGGGUUGAUCGAACUCCUUAGGGAGUACCAGGAUGUCUUUGCCUGGACAGCCGAGCAAGUGGUCGGGGUUCCUCCCCAACUUAUGCUGCACGAGCUGAACGUUGACCCUAGAGCCCGGCCAGUAAGACAGAAGAGGAGACACUUCGGCCCGGAACGCAGCAAAGCUGUAACGGAAGAGGUGGACAAGCUCAUGUCAGCACGGAUGAUCAAGAAAGUUCAAUAUCCCACUUGGCUGUCCAAUCCGGUAAUGAUCAAAAAAGACACCGGUGAAUGGAGGAUAUGUGUGGAUUUCACCGAUCUGAAUAAAGUUUGCCCGAAAGACUGUUACCCGUUGCUGAGAAUAGACACACUAGUUGACUCGGCGAUGGGAUAUGAGAUUCUCUAUUUCUUGGAUGCCUUCAAAGAAUAUCACCAAAUAGGCAUGAGUGAAGAGGACCAAGAAAAAAUAACUUUCUUCACAGAUCAGGGGGUCUACUGUUACACGACCAUGCGCUUUGAACUGAAGAGCGCCGGGGCCACCUAUCAACGGCUUAUCAACUGAGUCUUCAAAACUCAGAUAGGUCGAAAUGUCGAGACGUACGUCGACGACGUCCUCCUCAAGAGCAAGGAGACCUCGGCAUUCCUGUCCGACGUGAAGGAGGUCCUCGGGGUCCUCCAAGGCACUCGGAUGAUGUUGAAUCCCAAGAAGUACGUAUUCGGUGUGACCUCGGGCAAAUUCUUGGGGUACCUAGUGUCUCGGCGCGGUAUAGAGGCAAACCCUGACAAAGUGAAGGCCAUUCAAGAAAUGUCUUCACCGCGGACCUCUCGCGAAGUGCAAAGUUUGACCGGACGCUUGGCCGCCCUGAAUCGAUUCCUGUUGCAGUUCGCGGCCAAGGCAUUGCCCUUUUUCAAGGUACUCAAGAAAGGUGACAAGUUCAGGUGGACUACGAAAUGCCAGCAGAUUUUCAAAGAGCUGAAAGAAUACCUUCAUCACCUCCCCACGUUUACGUCACCUCGUCCUGGGGAGACCUUAUACCUUCACCUCUCGGCCGCGGACGAGACUGUUAGCGCCGUUCUAAUUCGGGACGAUGGGGUUCAGGUACCCAUUUAUUACGUCAGUUGAGUUCUUUGUGGCCCUGAGACCCGGUACACCCCAGCAGAAAAGCUCGUGUUGGGGUUAGUCCACACGGCCCGAAGACUAAAGCCUUAUUUCCUAGCUCACCUUGUAAGCCUGCGGACUGAUCAACCAGUUAGGCAGAUUCUGUCGCGCCCCGAGGCAUCCGGACGGCUCACUAAGUGGGCUAUUGAACUAGGGGAGUACGACAUAACCUAUGAGCCCCGGACUGCUAUCAAGGCCUAGGCGUUGGCGGAUUUCUUGGCCGAACUCACCUUCCCUGUGAGCCAAGACGCCAUUGUGACUGAAGCCGGACCCCAAAAGUGAACCUUAUAUGUGGAUGGAUCUUCCACUAGUGAUGGUAGUGGAGCCGGUCUGCUCCUCGAAAAUUCUCACGGCGAGACAUGCUCUUACGCACUUCGGUUCAAUUUUACUGCAUCACACAAUGAAUCUGAGUAUGAAGCGCUCAUCGCGGGAUUGCAGUUGGCCCCAAAACUUGGUGCCAACCAAAUCUCAGUUUAUAGUGACUCCCAACUCGUGGUAUGCCAGGUACUGGGAGAAUACGAAACUAGAGAAGAAAAUAUGCAACGGUACCUCUCUAAAGUUCACCAACUGGCAGCCUAUUUCGGGUUGUUCGACAUUCAAAGGAUACCCCGAUCAAAGAAUAGGUGAGUUGAUGCCUUAUCAAAACUCGCCUCCACUGCAUUCUCCACUCUCAAUAAGACGGUUCACGUGGAGGUUCUGUCUGAACCGGGGUACCUCAAGGAGAAGGUCUACCCAGUGGCCUCAGAAAAUACCUGGAUGAGCCCUUUCUUUAGCUUUUUGGAACGAGAAAUUCUUCCAGACGACAAGGCUGAGGUGAAGAAGAUUCAGCGCAAAGCGGCUAGAUACGCACUUCGAGGUGGCAACCUGUACAACUGUUCUUAUCUCGGCCUGUGGCUGAGGUGUAUCAUGGUCGAAGAGGGUGAAAACAUCCUCCGGAAGAUCCAUGAAGGACUGUGCCGGGGCGCAUGUCGGCCAAUGAAUGUUGGUCAAGAAGGCGUUAUUACUUGGCUAUUUUUGGCCAACCAUUCGGCAAGAUGCCCAGGCAUUAGUCCUGAGCUGCCUCUCAUGUCAGCACCACGCGCCCGAACAUCAUCAGCCAACCAAUUUCAUGGUCCCCAUCACGUCGCCAUGGCCUUUCGAACAGUAGGGGACAGAUAUUAUUGGACCCAGGUGGCUACACUUAUGUUGUAGUGGCGGUGGAAUAUUUUAUGAAGUGGGUUGAAGCCGAGGCUUUAAGAAGCAUCACGGGCCAAGCUGUCCAGAAGUUCUUCUGGAAGCACGUAGUCUGUCGCUUCGGGUUACCUCGAAUCGUCAUCUCCGAUAAUGGGAAGCAAUUUGCAGAUAAUCCAUUCAAAACGUGGUGCGAGGAACUUGGAUUUAAACAGCACUUCACUUGGGUUGGACAUCCUCAAGCCAAUGGACAGGCCGGGAACUUCAACCGAACACUUUUACACGGUCUCAAGACAAGGUUAGACCAGCUCGGAACCUCCUGACUAGACAAGCUCCUUAGUGUGCUCUAGUCUUAUCGGACCACACCUAGGACGGCCACUCAGGAGACCCCGUUCUCGUUAACCUAUGGGUCCGAAGCAGUGAUCCCUGCCGAAUUCCUUAUCUCAAGUCCUAGAAUAACGGCCUUCGCCGCCGAGGCUAAUGAAGAAGAACGAAAGACUGAUUUCGACUUUUCUGAGAAAAAGAGAGAUGUUGCGGCAGCCCGGAUAGCCCUGUAUAAGAAUAUCCUAGCUAGUUACUAUAAUUUCCGUGUGAAAAGUCUUUGAUUCAGCCCGGGGGAUCUCGUUCUCCGAAAGAAUUCGGUCAGUCGAACUGAGCCCGAGAACAAGCUAUCUCCGAACUAGGAGGGGCCGUACCGCGUCGUCGAAGUUAGCCAAAAUAGAUAUUGUAAAUUGGUCUACCGAGGUGGUGCCUUAAUACCUAGGACCUGAUAUGCCCAGAAUCUCAAAUUGUACUUUCCAUGACACUUGCAUCUUAUUUGAAAUUACUUACGCCUAUUCUGCGUACUUAGUUAUUUUUUUGGCACUAUCACAUGGUGUUGUUAAAGAAAAUAGGGGGACAAACAAGUAGUGAACGAAUAAAGAAGCAAGAUACUAGAAGGCGCAGGUAAUAGAAUAUGAAAAUUCAUAUUAAUAUUAAGGAAGGACAGGUACAAAAAUUGCAAGUACAAAAGGCCGAGACUUAGAGCCUUGCUAAGGGUCUCUCGCCUCGGCAGAUCCCUGGCCUGUAGCUUUCUCGGCUUCCCCCAUGGCUGCUCCGUCAUUUUCUUCGCCACCUUCUGGUCCAGGCUCAAAUUUUGCCAUUUCGCGGUUGAACUCUUCCCGCAUCUCGGCCAGGUUCCUCCCAACUUGAAUCCCCUCGGCCAUGCGAUCGCAGAGCUCCUGGGCGUUCUCGUUGUAACUCGCCUUAUUCUUAAACAAGUCCACUUGUUCUGCAGUGAGGAAGAGAGUGACCUCUUUGAUAGCUGUGGCGUAGCCGAACAUACAGUUGGACAAGGUGAAUUGACCGAGAUCAUGAGUGAAAGUCUCGGAGGAACGGAAGGCUUCCACUGCCGAGCUUCCCGCUUUGUCGAUUGCGGCCUGAGAUGACUGCUUUUCCUGAAGCCACCUCUUCUUCUCAUCUUCCAAAGCGGACUUCAGAGAAUUGACGGUGGUCUCGGACUGUUCCAUCUCGGCCAAGCGUUCCUUGCGGAGCUGUGUCUUCUCUUCUUCAGCCGGCUUCCUCUCCUCCUCGGCCAACUUCAGUUUCAGCUCCAAGGCGUAAACCCUAUCCUGUAGCUCGGCAGGGGCCUGAUUCUCAAGCAUAUUAGUAUAGUGCUGUAUCAACUCAAACAGGAAGGCCAAGGUCGAAACCCAAGCUACCGAGGUGCUUUGCAUUAGCUCGGCUGGGAUCAACUUUUUGGCGUAAGAGUUAUCCAUUGGUAAGCUGGAGUGGACUAGCAGGUGUUGGGCGACGCUAGGGUCCAGGCAUCGGUCAUUGACGCUGACGUCCUACUCCGGGCACCAAUGCCAAUCGGAAUGCCUCUUGUCGUCCCCGGCCUCCUGAGGCUGGAUGAAGUGCCGGUUCCAUAGGGAUGAUCCUAUAACCGGCACCUCGGGACCAGACACUUGCACCUGCUUGCCCCGACUUGUAGGGGGACGAGCCGCGAUGGUUACACUCCGGGCAGGCACCCCCUCUAGAAUCGUAGAUCCCUGGGAGCCCUCUGGAACGAUUAUGGGGGAGGACGAGAUGGGGUGGCUGUUUUCUUCUUCUGGGCGGCCGAGGUUUCCCCAGCAACUUUCCUCUUUUGCUACUUCUUCGCGACUUCAGCAGUGCCUGCGGUGAUCAGGUCGGAUACUCUCACCACUGCAUAAGAUGAAAAUAUUACUAUUUAGAAUCAAAAUAAGAAGAAGUACAAAGAUAUGAGACGAGAAGUAUGAUAUUUUUGAAGUCUAGUAGAGAAGUAAGGGGGAUGAUCCGGGCUGAUCAGACCUCAGCUGAUCCCGCCUUCAACCAGGAUCACUUUGGGGUAGGCCCAGCAGUUGAUCUUGAGGCCUGACCCAAGGAGUUUACGAAAAUUCUCCUCUUCGUGACGACCUGGAGAAGGAUCCUUGGCCGAAAUGGGCGGCCUCCACCAAAAUCCCCUCGAAAAAUCAUCGGCAGGAACAAAAAUGAAGUUGUGCUUCCAUUCUUUUAUGGAAGAAGGAGCGUCCACCACCAGCUUCAGCACGUGCUUGUUUCAGUUGACGAAGUAAAACCAACCUUUUUUAUCGCUGUUCUUAAUCGUAUAACAGCGGCGGAAGAGAGUCACUGUGGGGGCUAUCCCCUGGUCUCGACAGAGUAGUUCGAACCCAAUGAGGAUCCGAAUCGCAUUUGGGGUUAACUGAGUGACCCGAACGCCCCAAUACCUUAGGCUAUUCCGGAAAAAUUUCAUUGUGGGCAUCCUUAGCCCGGCUUCCAGCUGAUCCACAUAGACAGCUACUCUCUCUUUUGGGGGCCGCUCGACUGUUUGGUGCUCCCGAGGUGGAUAAAUACUGUAACGAGGGCGGAAGGGAUACCGGCGGAUCACCUCGUUAGCCUCUUGGAGAGUGACCACGCUGUGGUACUGAGGAAGUUGGCCGAAGUCUACUGUUGACAGGUCCGGAGGUGUGGCCGGCUCCAGCACCCUCUCGUCCUUUGGUACCUCGACCCCGAGGUCGUCGUCAUACACCAUCUCGGAGUCUGCUUCGCUCGGAUCCUGGGAUGGCGCAUCCCCGCCUAUUCCCUCAGCUGCCUCCUCCGGGCUAGAAGACGAGUUCUCCUCUUCUCCGGUCGGGUCAGGCCUCUCUGCUGCGUUGAAGUCCGGCCUCACUGUUUCUUUAUGCGUCAUAACUACCCUAGCCAUAUUGAUAAGGGGAAGGACGAAAUGAACUUACUGGUUAAGAAAUGAUGAAAUUUCUAAAGACUAUCGAUCCGGAGAAUUCACGCUCACUUCGGAUAUCUACUCUGAUGCUGUUUUAUGGUAUGCUGGGAAUGCUUGUGGUAAAAUGUAAAUGUUGACGGGAACCCCCUAUUUAUACAGAGGGGGGAAGGUGAAAAGAUGGGGGCGGUUAGGUUUCUCAGGCUGACAACCUCUCUCCUCAUUUAUGGCUACCAGCCCUUUGGUCUUUCCUCACUCGUCCUCUCGUGUUGUCGUUUAAAAGCUUACACCUAUCCUGUCACCAUUUCACAUCUCGCGCUGAACCUAUUCUGACACAAUGGCGACCUCCUGUAUCCGUACGAAAGCCCCGGGAAAUAACGUCCAUUUAGCCUUUCCCGAGGCUUGGGGGGCUUAGUGAGAUGGGUCAUUUAGGUUCGACGUGAAUACGCACACCUUGAUUCUGCUACUGUUGAAGACCGCUGAAGGGAUUGAACUUCCCGACAUGUUGGACCCCGGACAAGCUCACCUUGGUAUGACUUCUACCAAAGGCCAAGGGUCAGAGAUGUGUCCCUGGCCAUGUUCUCUUGUCAGAUGAUGGGACGGACAGGCUCAGGUACAGCCCGACACCUGCCAGGGUUCGGAACGAUUGAUGGGACCCACUGCCGCCGCCAAUCUGUCAAGUAAAGCUGACAGUCUGGGCGUGGCAAUUCCUAGGGAACGGGAUCCUCUCAAUCCUCUCUCCCUCUCAUAUAAAUACUUCUAGGACCCCUCAGAAAAGGGUAAGACCUCUGAUUUAACUCAGUAACUUGAACUUCACCUCUAAAAAGUAACUAAUUAGAGCGUCGGAGGAGAAUCCAGGGAUUUAGCCCCGCAUUUUUUGCAGCUUGAGCAGGUGACUUUUGAGGAGUUGCAUUUCUCACCCGAGGACACUCCAGCCGGUGAGGUAAAGCCUGAGCAAUCAAAAAUCACUUCUUCAGGUGGCAUGUGAAAGUUGACCAACAAACUGUCGCGAGUCCCUUGAAAAAAUUCUUAGCGUACGGGAUUCCAAUUUUCCCGCUAGAAUUCCUUAUCUUGGAACAAAAUUCGCCACUUAGGGUUUUUUGGUGAAUCCACCGGGGAAAUAACAGCAGAGUCGAGUAACUCUUUGAAAAGGGGCUCAAGUUUUGGACAAUAAAAAAUAAUACCAAUAAAAAAGUAUCAAAAGCAUUUAUUAAGUGUGCGGAGUAACUUUAAAAUGAUGUUUUUUAGUUUUGUUGGGUCAUUGGACAUUGAAGACCAUGAAUCCAUGAUCACGCAGGAGGAUGGUACUUUUGUUGAUUUGGACUUGUUACAAAUUGAGCAUAAGAAAUAGGCGUUAAUCAUAAUUAAUUUCCUUAAAAUAUAUAUUAUUUUUCACUGUAGCUCCUAACAAUUUUUUUGUCUCGCUUGAUCCUGCAUUGGACACAAUUAUACCUAUACUAUUAUAAACUCUUUUUUCUCUGACAAUUUUUUCUUCCUCUUUUGUGCUUUUAUAUUUUCUUUGUCACUUUAUUGUUUCUUUAAAUCUUCUUUUUUUUUCACAAAAAUCUUCAUCUUAAUGAUUGAAAUUGAAAAAGAGUAAUUGUAAAUUUCUAUCUUUUUCUUAAAUGAUUAAAAAAUAUUCAAAUUACUUUAUUUGAAAUACAAUUAUCUAGUAUCCAUAUUCUUUUAGUUUUGAUUUUUCUUCAUUCCUUUAUAGUUUCUCAUUUUAUUCUCAAGAAAAUAUCGUAAGAUGAAAUUGUGAUAUGAUUAGUAAUUAUCAAUUAUAAUUUGUGACACGUGGCAUCAUACAAAAGAUCAAAAAUUAGUUUUUGAUGUCUUUUAAAUCUGAACCCAGAAAUGCAAUUAAAAAACUCCAUCUUAAAAAUUUCUAUUAAGAUGGAGUUUUGUAUCGAAAAAGAUGAAAGAUAGAAGAAAAAGAAAAAAGAAUAAAAUACACGAAAAAAGAAAGGCUAAUUGAAGGUAAAUGAAAAAUUAAAAUAUGGGAAGGGUAAUUUCAUUGUAUAGGGGGUAAAGUGAGCAAAAAUAAAAUUUACGGGGGUAAAGCGAGAAUGAGAUAUAUGUUAUUGGAAUUAAUUGUAAUUAACCAUAACAUUUUAGAUUCUGUAUUCAUUCCCGUGUUGGUACUUAUAUUGAAUUUCUGCAUUUUACCAAUGGAAUAUAAUGCAUACUAAUUAGAAUAUCUAUUUAAGCUCUGAAUUUUUUUCCUAGUUUGUAUUGUGAGGAUAAUUCCAUAAAUCUCCCAUACAAAAAAUUCAUUAAACCAAAUUGUUGAGAAAUAAUUUAUUAGAAUUAUUAUGUAAUUUUUAAUGUUCACUAUAAUUUUAUAAAUAUAAAUGUAUUGUGCAAUAUAAAAAGGAAAAAGGACCAAAAAAAGAAGAAAAAAUGCAUAGCGCGACAUGGUGAAAUGGUUAAUUGCACAAAUUCGUUCAAUUAAUCCAUUCAAUUAAUUAACCUCGCCAAGUACAUCUAAAUUCAUUUAAUCGAACCUCUUAAAUUAAUUCACUCAAUUAAUUAAACUAAUAUAUCCUAUUGCCAAGCAAUUAAUUCAAUCAAUUAAUCGAACUUGUUCCAGUGCUUCCCCUUCUUGCCAAACCUGGCCAACCAAUACUCCGGGUCCCACGGACAUAUACCACAACUUGAUCGCAGAAAGGCCAUGGAUAUUUCGCUGAAAUGCAGCAUAAGAACAACAUUGUCUGUUGGACGCUUCUUUUUUUUUUUUUUUUUUUGUUUUGGUCAGUCACCUGACAGGUUUUUUUUUAAAAAAAAUAAUGCUGUUAGGUGCCGGCCUGUGGCAGGCACCCAUGUGGCUUUUUUAAAAAAAAAAAUUUUGGGUGUCAGGUGCCGGGCUGUGUCACCCCGGCACCCAUAGUUUUAUACACCCCCUCUGUCAGAUUCGUAAGUGUCUGACUUUUUUUUUAACAGCAAUAUUCUAAUCAAUUAGCCGGAAAUAGAUGAAUAAGAUUUUUUGAUGUUUGGAUUGGUUUUUGAGCAGGGAUUAAGGUCUAGUUGUUCUUUGUCAACCAUCCAAAAAUGGGCAAAAAUGAAGACAUCAAAAUUAAUAAAAAUUUUAAUUUUUUUUAAAAAAUCUAUUAUAUGUUAUAAAUUAAUUUUUUAAAUUAUGGAUAAAGACAUAACUAAUGUGUGAUAGUUAUCCUUCCUUUUCUUCCACAUUCCAAAAAAGAUGGAUGGACUCUAAUUUCCUCUGCUUUGCUUUCUUUUAUUUUUCAUUAGAGUAAAUUAUCCCAAUAGCCACUAAACUUUUCAAUUAGUUGAGUUUUGGCUACUCAAUUUUUAAAUGUACCUUUUUACCUACUCAACCAUCAAAAAUAUAAAUUCGGACCAUUUUGUCUAUUUCCACUCUCAACUCUAGUAAAUCUAAGGUCUUGCACAAGUCAAAAGACAUAAUCGAGAGGCAAUUUAGGAAGCACAGAAUUGUAUUACAACAAUUUCUUCUCAAAUGAAUCUUCUUCUUCUCUAAACCCAAAAAACAAAUGGUGAGAUAAGAAAGAAAAGGAAUCAGCAGGAAUGAAUGGAGGAAUCAGCAUCAAAAGGAGGUUGUGACGAUUAAGAUUCUGAUCAUCCAGAAGGAUGGAUUAGGUGAUUAGAGCGUAGAGAAAGAGGCUAGCACUUUGAUCCAUAUCGAGUGUACAGUAUGUUCUUGAAAAACCCUCCGUUACGAUCCCAAAAAAAAAAAACCCUGAGUGUAAUAUUAAAUGUACUUUUACUUAAAAACCAAAAAAGAAAAAAGCUCCUUUUUUCACUUAAGAAAGCUUGAGCUUUUCCUUAUCAUCGGGAGCGUUCUGCAAUUCAUCUUCCUCUUUCAAUUGCUGGUAAAUUUGCUUCCAAACCAACAAUAAAGAAGUUUAAGUUUAUUUACGGACUAAAUUAGUAAAUCCAAUAACAUUUUCUGGGAUCCUUCUUUGACGUACUUGAUUUCUGGUUUCUUGUCAGCUACCCUUGAUACUCCAUUUUUUUUUCUCUCUUUUAGAUAUAUCUAAUGCUUGAUGAAGGCCAUGUUAUACGUACACCUGAAGAUGUGGGAAAUUUUAGGUUUUUGUAGUCAAAUGGAAUUUGAAUUAUGGGGUAUCAGUUAAUCAGCUUAAUAUAGAAUGCAGUAUCUACUUGCGUCCUUCCUACGUGAGAGAGAGAGAUGAAAUUUUUGAGAUGAGUAUGGAUGAUAAUUUACUGAUUCCUUGAAAAAGGCAUGUACUUUGAAGUGAAGAAAUGGAGUGAAUCCGGUUGAGUUUCUACUCUUCUUGAAAGAAGUGACUGCUUCUCCAGUUUUCCAUUAUUCAACUUAUUAAACUUGAAGAGCUUUUGCCUCUUACCUUCAAAUCUUCUUCAAUCAAGACUUUCUAGUGCUCCUCUUCUUUGACCUCCAAACACUUAAAAAGGUUUAAAUAUAUCCUGGCCUCUGGGAACCCUUUGCAAUAUUCCAUAUUGUUGACGUAAUGGCUGACUUCUAUUAAUGAAGUAUCCCAAACACAUUGUCUUGGACUAAUCUCAUUACAGAACAUUUCAUUUUGCCACUAAACGUUCUUUUUUUUUUUUGGUUUUGAUCGGGUUUUGAUCCAUAUGUACCGUUGUUUUCGUUUACGUGCUUCCUAAACUAUCCCUCUGUUAUGUCUCUUGACGGCAAAAAUAGACAGAAUAAUCCUGAAUUUAUACUUCUGAUAGUUAAGUAAAUAAAAACAUACAUUUAAAAGUUGAGUGAUCAAAACUCAACUAACAAAAAAUUUAAUAACUACUGAGGUAAUCUACUCUUUUCGUUAAAGUCCUCUCCUUUCCUUUCUUUCCCUUCCCUUUCCUUCAAUUGAAGCAGUGCCUAAAGGACAUAGUGAAAACAAGGGAAAUGAUAUUCCUUCUGAUUGAUUUAAUAACAAAAUUUGCCCCACAUUUAUAUCAAGUUAUCAACACUAUCAUCAUUAUCUUCUUCAUCUCUACUGUCUCUUUCAACCAACGACCUGACCCUCUUGUCACCAUCUUCGCCUCCCAACGAUAUAUUGAAAAAACUACAAAAUCCCAAAUCCAAUCCACUUAUCUACCCCCCCCCCCCAAAUUCUACGCAAAUUGCUACCUUUAUAUAUAUGAGAAUUCUGUAAGCCUAAUUUGUUUUUGUCUUCAAUAUCAAAGGAAGGGAAUUUUGAAAGGAUAAUUUUUUUAUAUACUGUCAGUGUAUAAUUUAUUUUAUAGUAACUGGUUUAAACUAUGUCACAUAAUAUGACAUGUGAUAUACAUUUAAAGUUGCUAGUGUAAAAAAAUUACUAUAUUAUUAACGCAUAAAAAAGUAAUCGAUUUUUAAAAAUCAUGAUUUACAUUUUCAUUGGCAGUUCAAGAAACUAUAGAAAAAGUAAUUAUUAGAUCUACAAUUUAAGUGGUACUCAAUUUUAGAAUGAAAUUGACUACUUCACUCAUUCAAGGAUGGGAGAGCAAGUUAGAAAUUUUUGAAUGGUUUAGAAUUGCAAUAUGUUGCAGAUUAAUUUUUUAUUUCGUCAUAGGUUCUCAAUUUAGUGUAAAAUCAACCAUAAUAAUUGUACUAGGACAUUUCUAUGCAAUUAGAACUACAUAUAAAAUUCAGAACCUCUCUUUUUUUUUUAAAUUAGGGUAGGUAAAAACAGUCACUUGCAAAACGCAAAUUCCAAUAUGGGUCAUUAAUUUGAGAACCGGUGAAUACAUACACAUACACACUUAUCAAAUUACCUGUCACCCAUCAAAAACCCUUAAUUAAUACCAAAUCCUAACGAAUUACUCAUCAAUCCUCAGAUCGAAUUAACCAUCGGAUCGAUUACCAGCUGGUAUUGAAUUUUAUCCUAUCCGCUGCCAUCCGUACAUAGCCCUACUCCCCACUCUUAAUUAAGCAGGCACAACUCAUCUCAGGCUCGCCUCGCAAUAAAAAAAAAAUUGACAAUAGCGAUAAAGGGAUAAUUUCAGAAAUAGGUCCUGAAAUUUACAACAUUUGCAGAUGGUGCCUUUCGUGUCCUGAGGAAUAUCAAGGUUCGGGUAUUCGUUUCAUAUUUCCUUCACCAUUAAUCCUCCCUAAUGCACAUCUUUUUUCAAAGAUUUUCUUGGUAUGUAUCAUAUCAUCUACUAUACUGGAAAUGUCAAUAACCCAACCUGCGAUACCUCUGUCAUGUUACUCAACUUUACCUUCUUUCUGGAAUCUCACUCUUAUCUAAGAGCCAAUUUGUGCUUUCAACUGGUUCAACGUGCUUUAUUCUGUGUAUAUGGUUCUCUUCAGAGGCUGAGGUACUCCUAAGAAAAGGGAUUGGUGAUAAGACAAUACACUUAAAGAAGAAACUAAAGAUCAGUGUUUAGGUUACAUUUAUUGGACUCAAACUCUAGAUUAGGUGGGAUUUCUUGAAAUAAGAGAUCAAAGGCAUAACUAAAAUGAAAACAAAUUAAGGUAUUAAAAUUAUAUGACUGCUUUCAUUUUGUUUUUUUUUUUUUUGGGUAAGCUUUAAGUUGCAUUUCAUCCUCUUUUAAGUUCUGUUUAUCGCCACUUUGCCAUCAUGACUAAGAGCCAAAAUUCAUGGUAAGAUGUUUCAUAUGAGAUUAUGACUAAUGAUUUCCGUACCAUGCAUGGUCCAAUUUCUUUCUUUUCCACCUUUUUUGUUUGUCAAGUCUAUAUGCCGACACAUAUAUCCUUCAUUGGCACCACAAAAUUUCAAAUUAACCUCACUUUUUUGUUCUAAUUUAUCAUAGUUUGUGUGACUGUUGUUGAAAACUUUUCGUAGUUUAUUAACCGAAUGCUGUUGACCAUGCAUGGUAUAUGUUAAACGUAUAUCACUAUUUACUUUCAACAAAUCUACACCACAUUUUUAAUGCAAAAAGAAAAUUACUGCUUGAUUAACUUAAAAUACAUACAUACAUACAUACAUCCCUAAACCAGAAUGAAUAUAGAGAAUGAAGGAAAGCAAAUAAAAAAAAUGCGGCCCGCCAUGAGGGUUUAGCGUAAUCAAACCCAUUAGUUGUUCUGCUUUUGUAAGAACAUAAAUGAUUUACUGUCUUAAUGAUUCGGAAAGUUGAAACUCCAGACGUCCAGGAAAGUUGUCUCUGUCCGGAAGAUGUACACAAAGAUUCAAAACUACCAUCAUAAUAUUGGACUUCAAAUUUCAAAAUACCGCCCUUUAAUCACGGAGGAAAAUCUUCUUCCCUACCUGGCAAAACUAGUCCCCGAUAAGGAGCCUUGUCUUACAUAUUAAUUGUGACAACAUCAAACGUUUUUCUCUCUUUGUAUUUUAGGAUGGCAAACCAUAACAAUAUCUAUAAAAAAAAUGAAGAAGAAAGGAAAAGACCAUUACAAUAAUCAUUCUUCAUACCUUAAUAAGAUAUUGCAUGGAUUUAUAUUCAUGUGCACGUUAAUACAUGAGUUUGGUAAAUGAAAAUUCUAUUCCAAAGUUUUACUACGAGUAAGAAACGAAGUAAGUGUGACAUUUUUAAUAUGCAAUGCUAUACAUGGAAACUAAUAAGAUCUUAAUAUAUAUCCAAUACUGAUAUGUGAUAAAAAUGCUCCCCACAAAUACAAUGUAUUUAUUUCUAUAAUUCUUCCUCUAAAAUAGCCCAAAGCCAGCCCACUCGGCAUCGUUCACCGGCCGGGGUGAUGACCGGCGGGAUGAAAAUGAAGAAGAAAAUGGAGAAUCCCAGAAAGGAGACAUGGACGCUCUACUUGAAACUGACCAAGGGGACAACUUUCCAAGAUCCGAAGCACUGUCAGGUUCGGACUUGGACUCAGGUCGGACCUUAAGCUUGUGCUGCUUCUUUGUUUUCUUUCUAUCAUUCUUCAUGCUGAUGAGAAAAGGAGAUGUUGGAAAGCAUCCACUGGAUAAUACAUUCUCGGGUUGUGCGAGAGUGGAGUUGUUGAAAUGGUACCGCUCCGAACGGGUUCGAGAAGGGGACGGAAAGGAUCGGGUACGGGGCUCCGCCUGAAAGCAGAAUCCGGCAGGUGGAGGUGCAAGUUUUGUUGGAGUGUCAGGCAAUGCACCAUAAUCUGAAGUAUUGUUUGCUGCCUCCUUUAGUUGUUCCUGCAGCUGCUGUCUGAGAACAAAUGAAGGACUGCAAUGAAAAGAUCUUCUUUUUUGUUCAUAUUGUUCGGGUUGUUGGAGUUGGGCCUUUGGAAGUCCGGGUCGGACCUCCCACUUGAAUGGAACAGCCCCUGGCUUCUUAAAUGAAUCAUCCACCACUGCCAUACUACCCAAAAAAGUGAUUGUGAAAAUUCCCUUUUUUUUUCUUUCUCAUGUGCUGAGUGUUGAACUCUAUUUAUAUAGAUGGAGUUAGAUUGGGGAAGGAUAAGGGUCAUGGUCAUCAUGAUAGGCAUAGUCUUGGCUUGAUUAAAGGCGUUGGAGGUGGGGUUGGUGGACCUUUAGGGUAUACAAUUUUAAUUACCAAUUUGCAUUUGCUUAUAUACCAUGCAUGGACUUUUCAGUAGAUCGGUAGGUGAUUAAUCCUUUGUUUGUUUGUUUCUUUUCCCUAUUCUUGAUUGAUGAUCAUAUGAAGGUGACGUGGUGAACCAUGUGCUUGUGUUUUUUCUUUAUUUGAUUUUGAGUGACAACAGAAAAUGUAUGCUUGGAUAAGCAUGUGUCCAAGAAUAACUUAGGAUUGCAAUUUUUUGAAAUUUUUGUAGAAAAUAUAUUAUAACGAUUUGACAUAUGUGAGGUAAAAAAGUGAUUGGAAAACGUGUUCACAAAAAACGUAAAGAUUUUUUUGGUAGAAAAUCCCUUUCCAAACACGGUAACUUCUCAAAUUAUCACCUUAGUAAGGACUAUGAAGAAGGCAAGGAUGAUUUAUCUGGACAAACGUGUCGCAUAUGGAAUAAAGAAUAAGUCAUUUUUUAGUGAUUUUGCAUUAUUUUGUUGAACAUGUCAGUCAGUAUACUAGUAUUUUCCUUCUUGACUGGUAAAAUGCUUCUUUGUGGAAAAAAGGGAAGAUCCAUGAUGGCAAAGUCAAGGUGCUUAGGAAAUAUGCUUGAUUGUUUUAGAUUGCAUCACCUCAUACUUGGAAAUAAAAUGAUUUAAAAAAUGCAUGUACUCAAGCUUUGUCUCAAGUCACAUACACACCUUCAUCUAUACAGGAGUUAUCAAUGCCGUAUUCACCGCUAUGUCUACGUCUACAAAGAGUAAUUUGAGCUAUUCCAAUUUCAAAUGAUGUAAUUAAUUCCACUUUGUAUCCUUUAAUUAUAUCCAAAUUUUCGCUCUGGUUCUUAAACUUUAAAAUGGGACACUUUAAGUCCCUAAAUUAUAAAACUUGUUAUACUUUCAUCCUUGAAAUAUAGAACUUAUCCAUUUUAAUCUCCAAAGUGUGAAACUUAUUCGAAUUUAGUCUCCAAAAUAUAUCCACUUAGACAUAAAAUCUAUCUCAUCUUCCUUAAUGAGUGGGACAAAUUUUACAGUUUAGGAACUAAAGUGUGUCAGUUUUAAAUUUAAGGACUAAAUUGGAAAUUUAUGUAUAGUUGAAGGGUGCAAAGUGGAAUUAACCCUAAUUUAUAUCCCUAAAUUGCACCUCAAAUUCAUUUAGGUAAUGACAAGGAACUAAAUAUGCAGAACUGUGAGUACAUCGAAUCAUCAUUACUUUACCAUAGGGCAAAUAUUUCGCAUAUGAGAGAGAGAGAGAGAGAGAGAGAGAGAGAUUCCAAUUUUGUGGCAGCUAAAGAAAAAUAGUAAAUAAUUGCUAGAAAAGAUCUAUCCACCUAAAAUUAGGUGGGUGUCAUGGGUAAAUUCCAAUUGCAAAGUUUGAAAUUUGGAAUGUUAGUAGAAUAGUAUCAAGGAUGAAAAAGGACAAAUAAUGGAACUUCGUAUUGUUGUCUCAAUUAGUACGUCCGUUAAUGGUCCCUCGGCAUGGUGAUUGAAUUAAACGGUGCUUAGAUUUGAAUAAAACUCACAAAGUCAACUAAUAUCAUAAGCAUGGAACCGCAUGGAUAUCCCAGCGGACUAGAGGAAUGGGAAAUGUAUAGUUGAAAGACCUUUGUACCUAACAAGUUAGACUAACAGAAUUUGCACAGUUCUAUUCAAAGUUUUCCUAUCAGUUGCAAAAAUUUUACCAUAAAUUAAUUGUUCAGGAAUUUCAUCUCAAGUGGAGGAGAAAUGAAGGGAUAUUUUUCGAUAUUUGAGAGUUCAGAAGGCAAUAUAUGGACGGAGAAUCAUUCUAGAAGAGGCCAAAAAUGCAUUUCACCAGAUAAAUGAAAGCCGAAUUUACCUUUACCUGUUGAUUGAAUAUAAAAUGCUUAACCGUGUUUUCCUUCCUUUAAAGACCAUCUACUGAUCAAACAGUUCUUGGACCAAACAUAUAGAAAAAAGAAAAAUCAAUUUAGCAGCAAUAUGAGCUAUUUUUAAUCCUUUAAAUAUUGCAACUCAGGACCACCAAAGGCCAAGACAUUUUUUUUGGUUCAGUCCUGCAUGUGGGAACUGUCAAGGGUUAGCUUUCACAUAUCACAAUGACUAACAUGACGACUGGAAACAUUUUGGACCUUGCAAAAUUUUGGAUAAUGCACAAGAGUAUUAAAGAGGACUAUAUUAAGCAAGCCAUAGGGUUACAGAUAACAAAGAGCAGCAAAACCAUCAUUAGUAAAGUUAAUGACACCAAAUAUUUUAGACAAAAACUGGAAAACAGAAAAGGGCACCACAUAAUUUAAAAUGAGCCUAGCAGAUCGAAAUGUCUUAGCCAUCUAAUUCUCAUACCUAACUCUCAUAACAUAAUUCUUGUGGCAGGUUACAAAGUGCUUGCAUCGUUUUGCUGGCCACAUCCAGCAGCUGCAAAUAUUCAUCUGCUCCAUCAACAAGACACUGAAAAACCCACCAGACAAAACAUGAGUACGAGUCAAAACUUGUACAUGUUCCAGUGUCAACUCAGAGCAAAAGGAAAGGGGCCAAGUCAAAGAGCCAAAGUUAUGGAAUUGUGUAUUGAGUUAUGGUUGGUUCUAUUGUGGGGAAAGUUGAUACUAUAAGCAAAAUCAAGAAAUCAGUGAUACAAGCCCCAUGCAAACAAUAUUCCGGUAAAUUGCUCACUAACAAUGAAAAGCAUAUUCGACAUGCACAGUUCCAUAUUAAGGCUACCAAUACUGCACUCUCAGGUCAAUAGUCCAUAAAACCAGCAAGAAAGUUAGAGAAUUCCACAAGUUUCUGCAUAUGAAACUGAAACUGAAACUCAAAUCCUGGAAAUUGUACGAGGAGUCCAAGUAAUUGGUCAAGGUAUAUUCCUUAAUACUGUUCUAUAUAAAUCCAGACAAACACUUGAGCAUUUUGAAAAUUUUGAAUUCACUGAUAUGCAGAAACACCUUAUCUGCUUCACCCAAUUUCUUGCAUAUUCUUGCCUUCUGUUCAUCUGAUAUGUCAUCUGCCUCAACAACUAAAUCAAACAACUGGAAGAAGCAUCACAUCAGUAUCUAACAAGUAAAAAUAAUUGGUGUAGAUUUUGCUGCAUGCAAAUAAAAUGGCACCUGAGAUAGCAUCUGAGAAACUGGAUAUCCUUCAGCUAUUACAUUCUUGACUUCCUUGUCUGCAAGGUCAAAAUUACCACUUCUGCAAGCUGAAUAGAGAGCCUGAACAACAUCCUCAGGAAUAACCUGAAUAUUUGCCAGACAAAAGGGUCAAGCAUGUAGCAGGCACCAUAGACCACAGUAGAGAACUCUGAACGAAGAAACAGUAAUCCGAUAUUUCUCCAAUCUAAAUUCAAUGAUGAAGAGUACAGUAAGCAGGACUUUGAUCAAAUUGUCCUUCCUUUUUCCAUCAUUCUCCAAGGCCCUGCAUGCUCUCUCUUUUUUGGGGUAUUUGGGAUGGGGUUAAACUCUACAGGAUGUACCUUAUAACCAGAAUCACAAUUUCCACAAGAAAAUAUCCUUCUCCGACAUCAAGGAGACACAAAAGAUCCUAAAAGCGUGUCAUACAGAUUAUUGCAAUAAAAAUGCUAAUUCUAGGCAAAAUCUAAAGACAAGCAUUACUAGACUAAUCACAAUAGCCCUUAGAGAGCAAUUAAAAUUUAUAGGAAGCUUAAUGGGGAAAAGAAGGCCCUUGAAAAUUUAACCAUGCGAACGACAACUUCACAUUUCCUAUUUGCCACAAUAAAAAAGAAAGAAAGAUCUAAAAUCAAGCCAUCGCUCAAGCUCAUGCUGAACUUUGGCCAUUUUACAAUAAUGGCAUGAAAGUUACAUGUAACAAAGCUAACUCCAUAUAGGUGGAAUCUUGUAAAGCAAUUCAAUUUCAAAGAAAAUGGAUAAAAGAUUUUGACAAAGCAGUGCCUUGAAGUUUUCUUUCAAAUUUUGGAGAUCAUAUAGAUGCUUGUUGAGCAUGUUAAAUAGUGGUAUCAACAUCUCCUAUAACUUACUUCCAACCACCUUACAAUUCUCAACUUAUAGGUUUUAAAGUCGAAGCUAUUUUUUGGGUUGGUGUCUUGCAAAAUCCAACUUACAGCUGGGUAGUUAUUGUUUCUGGAGACUGUUAAUAACAUUAGGUUGACACCUCAAACUUUAUUACAUGCUUCUUUUGGACAUUUUCCAACACCACCCAUUUCAAAUGCUUAAAGAGCAGAUGAUAUUCUCAUGUUCCUUGCCAAAGGCCCCAGAAAAUUGGAAGUUAGAAUCCCCUUUCUCCCUUCUGCAUCAGUAAAGGCCAAAAGGACAUUCCACAGCCUCCACCAAACCAUCAGGACAGGCAAUCACAUGUACAAGACUACCAAACAAUCAUAAUCGUAUAUCCAUGAUUUAACAACACAUACUCAGUUGACAGGGUCUGCAUAUAAAUAAUGAAUAUUAAAAAUUUUACCUCCUAAGAAAAAAGUCAAGCAAACGUCAAUGACAAUCAAUGUGUCUUUCAUAGUACUCAAUGUGUCUUGUCAAGGACAGAAGACAACUCUAACAAAGCUUUCAACCAUGCAUCUGAGAACAGAAGGGUACAUAUUGCCCUAGUACAAUGCAGCACAAACUAAAGCGCACUAGACAACAUGUGAAAGAUAAGAGAUGUAAGAUUUAUCAGGAUUAGAAGACAAAAAAGAAGACAGAUUUUAGGAUUAAAAGCCAGAACCAGAUAAGUUAGAUGACUCAUGCACUGUAAAAAUAUGCAACAUAAGAAAUCAGCCUUAGCAAACGAAAAAUUAGUUGUUGUAGCCACUCAACAAGAAAACUAAAGAAAUAUUAAAGCCCUCAGACACAUUAAAAUCUGAAACCAAUUCUCUCUUUCCUUUUCAAAGACACUAUUAGAACAAACACUUGACAAGUCUAUAGUAACCAACUUACCCCAGAAACACUAAUUAAGUCUCUGGAUGAAAUAGAAGAUCCAAACAAGCGAGCAGCACUCUGCAACAAUCCAAAACAAAAGAACAAGCCCAUUACAAAUGGAAGCUGAUUUCAGUAAAAACAUGGCAGAUAUAAGCCAUUGGCCAAAAGAAUCACGAUUAUCACGAUUGUAAUCCCCAUUAGGUAAGAAAGAUGGAAAAUCUCGAAAGAACAUGAGAAAACCUUCAGUUAAAAUAAUGAAAGAAAUAUAUUAAUUAUGAAUAAAAAACAUAUUCAGCAGGAGUAAAAUCCAAAAUUGGAAAAUGCUACAUAUAAUUUUUCUAAGUGCAUGUAAGUAACUUUAAAGAAGCUAAAAAAAUAGAAAUUGAAUAGUAAAUGGUACUUCCAUAUACAAGGGGAGAAUAGGAAGAACAGGAAAAGGCUGAAAACAAGAAAAUUUAGGAAAAGAAAAACAUGUUUGAGCAGAACAUACUGGUAUAGCAAAAUAAGAAAAAUAAGUAACACAAGCCCCAGGUUAUGGGCUGAUGCAAUCUAUUAAUAUGUUUGACCUUUUACAGUAACGGAUCUCCACUUCCUCAUCAGUGUGACAUCGCUCUAUAGCAACCUCACAUAUCACCCACAAAUUGAACUUCAAAAAUGCACAUUGAUUUAGCAAUCUACCAGUCUCAAAGUUUUCAUUUGGGGCAUUACUAGUUUUCUGGCACUGAGAAUACAGCGCUGCUGAGUACCAAUGCAUCCAUACAUGGUAAUUCAUGUUCAUUGUUAAGAAUGAACCCACCUGUAAGUAUGUUAUAGCCCUACGGAGAUCUCCUUGUGAUAUAGAACUUAAUGUUGCAAGAGCCUGCAGUCAGAACCAGUUCAUAAUUCAAUAAGAUAAAUUCAAGGAAAAUACAAGAAUUUACUUUAUGCAUAAGCAGGGAAAGUUUAUAAACAGCAUUGCAUGACUAAACCCUCACAUCUGAAUCAAGACUAAGGCCUUCCUCUUGGCAAAUGUAGAGGAUUCUGUUGCUCAUAAUAUCUUCCGUUAGUGGCUUGAAUCUGAACUUAGCGCAUCUAGAAGCGAGUGGUUCAAUAAUCCUACAAAAAAAAUAUUUUUCAAAUGAUUAAUUACCAGCCAAGAGACUGUACAGUUCAUAGGCUACAUAUAUUUAGGGAAAGCAUUCCUUUUCCAACAAUAACAUGCCAAAUUCUUCACUUUAUAGAUCCACUCCUCCAGGAAUUGAUUUUUACAAGUUUUUCCAUGGUAAACACUGAUUUGAAGUAAGCCAGUAUGACAAUUAUUGAAUUGUACUGCAAAAUCAUGAUGAAUAGAAGAAGCGUAAAUAAAGCACAAAAAGUAAAUCAUCAAAAUUUACAGUUUUCAAUCUAUGAGUAUAUAGGGUGCGCAACACACACACACACACACAGGGGAGGGGGGGAGAGAGUGAGAGUCUGACUGGCUGACUCAUUGGGUGACUGAGAGAUAGGGAGAAGAAAAUUUGCAACAGUUAAAUGAAAAAUAUUUAAGGGAAGUAACCUGCUGAUGUAAUUACAAAUGAAGAAAAAUCUUGUAACUUUUGAGUAUGUUUCCAUAGUACGUCGUAGGGCAUUCUGCAAACAAAAUGGUCUCUUGCGUCAUAUUACAACAGAUCAUAAGUAAUCAACAAAAGCUAACAUUCUUGCCUGAGCAUCUUCAGUCAUUGAAUCUGCCUCAUCAAGGAUUAUGAUCUUGUAAGGGGGACAAGGAUAGCCUCUAAAGUACAGAACGCAUUUAGUGGAAGACAACCAAAUGAACAUAAAUAAGCUUAGAGUAAAUCGAGUCAUAAAACAAAUCAGAUUAAAAUACAUACAAAUGCAACGGCAAAGAGAAAAAGAAAUUAUAUGUACCCUUGACGACCAGAACCAACAGCAACUGCAGCAAAAUCUUUUAUUUUAGUUCGAACGACAUUAAUUCCACGGUCAUCACUAGCAUUUAGCUCCAAUACUCUUGAUUUAUAGAGUUCAGGCCUGUGAAUGAAGAUGGUUGAGUUCAAAAAAAGACAGAUGAUAAUUCAGGUCGUGAUCAUUUGGUACACAGAACCAACAUUCUCAAGGAACCAAGCUGGUUAAAGUUUUUUUGACUAAAUGUAUCAUAUCAAUGUGCUAAUCAGAGGAUAAAAAAAGCAUCUACAAGUUUUCACAUAAGGCGAAGGAAUAUCCCAGCAAAGACAUAAUUUGCCACAUUUAAAUUGGGAUCAUUAAUUAGUUUAACAGCACAUGGAACCUAUUCUGCACAAAGAAAACUUAAAAAGGAAAGAAGGCCAAAACUUGACACUGUGGUUAUGCUUCCAUUGCAUUUCAUUGUAAACCAUCCACAAUAUCAAAAUACCUAAUGACUUUAUAGUAGAUGGAAGAAAGGACAUGUGCAUUUCUAGAGAGGUGCAUUUCUAGAGAGGUGCCUUUCCCCGGCCCCACUAUCCCAACAGAGAAAAAAGGAUAAUACUUAAAUUGCUACAUUCACCACUGAACUCAGGUAUAAUUUGUAGAGGCAAAUGUAUUAUCAUUUUUUUCAAAAAACAACUAAAUUCUCAAGUGUUAGAGCAUUUCUAGUUAUUCUACCCAUGCGUGUGUCAACUACCAAUCUUCAUGCAAAUACAUGAUUUACAUGCUCAUAUGUUUAUUGACAAGCUCAAAAGACACAGAGCAAAGUUAAAGCAGCACAAAUACACGACAAGACAACUUCAAUGAGCAAUACACCGGGAGGCAUGAACUCUCAACUUUUCCGGUCACUAAACAUCACUUAGAUUUUGGCAUUUUCUUUUCAUUCACUACUUAAAAGCCAAUUGUUCUUAAAAUCUAGAUAAAACACAAAUUACCUGCUAGUGUUGGACGCUUAGUUAUUAAUUUAUUAACUACUUAAAUUUCUCUUUUCUUUCGUGAUCAUCCUACACUUACUCAAAUAGAUAUUAUGAAAAAGAUUUUUUUUUUUUUACCACCAUAAAUAUUAGAUACAAGUUUGAAGCAGCUGAAGACUUUCAACAGACAUAUAUUACACUCAUAAUUUAGCUGGUCCAACAUUCUCUAAGUUCACAUCAGUGAGAUCAUUAGCAGCUACACAUAUAUUAGCCACGCGACUCCAAAAUCUGAAAGCGAAGAAACUAACACGUCAAGAAGAUCAACGGUAUCACCAUUAGAAAGAAAUGGAAGAAAAUUAGAUUUAUAUUAUCUUCUUCAUUUGUUACCAUGGAAGAAAAUUUCAUACUUUUUUUCUGAAAUUCAAGUCAUUCACAAUACAUUUGCCUUGACUGAUAUAGUUUAAAACCAAUCUCUCUCUCAAUUUCUACAAUUUCCUUGUUUCCACAUUCAAAUAGAAUAUCGCAUAAUUACAAGCAAUUAAGCUGACAGAAAAUCAAAAUGAAAUUUUUAAAAAGGACCAAAAAAAGGAAAAAUUAAAAAAAAAAAAGGGAUUUCAGCAUGAGUAAUUAGCUUCAAACCCGAAAAGUUGAUGAGCAAUGGCGAGGGCCGUGGUGGUUUUGCCAGUGCCGGGAGGUCCAUAAAAUAGCAUAUGAGGGCACUAUAUUAAAAAAUUCAAAAAAAAUUACAAUAUUAUUUAUGAAGCAACCAAAGAAUAUACUUUCAAUCUAACCCUAAAAACAAUGAUAAAAUGAAAAGGAAUCAAAAUUAGCUAAUGAAAUUGAUUGAAAUUUACAUUGGCAGUCUCAAGAGUGUUGGUUAGGACUCGAACGACCUCGUCUUGGUGCGCUACAUCCUUCACUUGCUUCGGUCGACUGCGUCAAUUUAUUACGAAAAAUGUUACUCAAAAACAAAAAAAAAAUAGAGCAAAAUAAAGGUGUAUCUACUGAGUGUGUGAUUUUGUGCGUGUUUUGAGUGUGGAAGAGAGAGAAGAGAAUUAGUUGUUACUAUUUCUCAACCCAGGGCUGCGAGGUCUGCAGCAAUGGCGCCAUCUCUGUUUCUUCGUCUGUCAACAAAAGCUGGUUCUUAUUUUCCCGCUUCAACAAGGUCUACACUCUUGUCUACUGUGCCUAUUUAAGUUCUCCUUUAGAUUGCUGUUUGGGAAAAUGGUCAAAUUCGUCCCUAAACUUUUUUUUAAUGUCGAUUUAAUCCCUAAUUUUUGUUUUCGGCCAAUUUGAUCCCUAAACUUAUAUUAUGGUUUCAAUUAAGGAUUUUUACGACGGCACAACCAGAAAAAUCGAUCAAACUCCUUAUUAACCAAUUAAACAGAGGUAUUUUAGGAACAUUAGAUAUCUCCUCCCUCUAUCAUUAAUCUCCACCGCUUGCCACCCAUCUCCUCUUCUUUCAUCCCACCUCUCUUUUCCUCCCUCUCUCAUGUCAGUAAUUAUGCCUGCCAUUCCUAGUGUUUGCCUGGUCCUAACGAACAAUUUGCCUGGUUCAUAUUCAAUCCAUUGCGGCAUGACUUCUUCACGCUUUAUUCAUCACCGAACAAUUAAAAGUUUUGAAAUCCCAUUUACCGACCUUCUCUUCGGGGGAUUGGGGAUUGUGGGAAGUGGGAACCAUUUGCCAUCAAGUUAGCUUAAGUCGUUGGUUAAGCAGCAAAAUUCCAUCUUGAAGGAAUCCAAUCGCAAUAACUGGUUUUUCUCGUCUCAGAAUGAUCAAACGGGGAAACAAAUGAUGAUUAAGGAAAAGAAUGGAUAAAUGUAAUCCAACCAUGUGUCCAUUUAGAUAAUAGGAUUUGAAGGAAAGAUCUAAUGAACGAGCUAAUUGGAAACACAGAACUCAAAUAAGAGUUCUCCUUUUUUUUUGUUAUUACUUUGGCAAAAGAAGAAAUUGCCACAAAACACUUGCGUACAGUUUUGGGACAAAGUGCGCCUGCCGGAACAAACUACCCCCCCCCCCCCAAACACAAAAAAAAAAAAAAAAAAAACCCAAAAACUCCCAAUUCUAAUUACUCCUCCGAAAAUAUUACCAACCAAAAGAAAAAACGGGGGAAAAAAUGAGAGUAAAAGUAAAGUAGCAGCUGCUGCUCCACGUACCAGUAGAAAAAGGGCCUGAAAAAUCAGCUAAGCAUCAGAUCCAGGAGAGUGAUACUGGUGACUUUCUUAUCGCAAGAUUUUUUUAAAUUAAUUGCCUGGCCCGCUAUUUAGCAAUCGGAUCCAACUAAGAAGCUGACUUGUUUCUCUUUGUUAUGAUUUUUUUUUUUUUGUCUUUUUCCCUCGCUAAGACCAGGCAAACACUAGGAAUGGUUUUUUUCCCUCGCUUGCCUGCCACCCAUCUCCUCCUUCUCUCAGUCCACCUCUCUUUCCCCUCCCUCUAUCACGUCAGUAAUCACCAGGCUAAGAACAGGCAAACAAUAGAGGGAGGGAAAAGAGAAGAAUGCGGGUGGGAAAAGAAAGGUGGGGUGAGAGAAGAAGGAGGAGAUGGGUGGCAGACAGUGGAGGCUGAUAAUAGAGGGAGGAGGUAUCUAAAGUUCCUAAAAUACUCAUGUUUAAUUGGUUAAUAAGGAGUUUGAUCGAUUUUUCUGGUUGUGCCACCGUAAAAAUCCUUAAUUGAAACCAUAAUAUAAGUUUAGGGAUCAAAUUGGCAGAAAACAAAAAUUAGAGAUUAUAUUGACAUUAAAAAAAAGUUUAGGGACGAAUUUGGCCAUUUUCCCUUACUGUUUUUUAAAGUUUUUGUAAAAACGUACUCCCUCCCUUUUUUUAUAAAUGACGUUUAAGGUUUUGCACAUCAAUUAAGAAAAGUUUUUCAUUGCUUAAAUUUGUACACUACUUUCCUUUUGUACUCUCAUUAAUUGUCCAAUUCAUCCAUAUUUUUUCUCACUAGAGUACUAAAUGGUACUGUUUUACUAGGCCAAAAGCAAUGCAAACUAACUCCCACCAAACUAGGAGUAGUAAUUAAGAACCCUGUAUUGGAAAAGAGAGAUAAAAAAAUAAAAUUGUGAAAAAAUAAUUUAUACUGUAUGGGGAUAAUAAAACGACAGAUAAAAGUACACUAGAGCAAAUUUCUUAAACGUCAGUUAUAAAAAAAAGGAGGGAGUAUAAUACAUCGAUUUAAUAUAUAUAUAAUAAAAAAAUUAUUAAAAAAUUGUGUUCAUAAAAAAGGAUUUCUAUAAGAACUGAAGUUUGAAUUCAAGUACUAAAAUCCUAUGUAAUAAUUCAAUUCAACAUUUAAAUUUAAAAUGCGCAUGAUAAAAUUGAAAUUUGAAAUUUAACGUCUGAAUCUAUUAAGUUUUUAAUUGUUAAAUAUUAAAUCUGAUAUAUUUGAAUAUAUUCAUAUUAAAUAAUAAGUGAAUAAUUUAUCACUUAUUUUUUAAAAUUAAGUUUUGUUUAAAAAAUUCAAUAACACUUAAUUUGAUCCCCUUUUAAUUCAACGGACUGCUAGGCUGAUUUUAAUUUAAACCUGGAUCGUGAUCACUUCUAGUUGUAGCCUACUUGUAGGCUUUUUUUUUUUUGCUUUGCUUUGUUUUGUUUAUUUGUUUCCUCCAUCUUUUCCCCUCAAUUUUCAAUUGAGCAUUGAUACUCCUCACAGUUGCAAACAUCAAUUCCAUUGCCAACUUUAGAAAAUUUCACAUGUUUCUUGCAAGUAUUUGCUUGUCUUGGAACUCUUAAGCAAAGAUGUCUUGAUUAUGUUAUGCAGCUCAGGCCCCAAGCAAGUGUAAAAACAUGAAGAAAAUUUUACAUUAAUUUUUUUAGGACGCAUUACUUAACAGGCAAAUAGUCAAUUUCCUUUUCAUUAAAAUAGUGAGAUAUUUUAUUUUGCUUUGUUUUCAAAUGUGUAAUUCAUCGAUAAUUUUUUUUUAAAGACUUUUUUUCAAUUUCCAAAUUCACAUUGUUACUCCAAGAGUUUGGAAACAGGUAUAUUUCAAAAUAAACACGACUCCCUGUCCUAUACUCGUUUCCUUUUGUUUUUUUUUCCUCUCCUUUUAUUAGUUUCCUCCCUCCUUUUCUUGUCCUUUUUCUCCUGCAUAUAUAAUCUCUUCCUUAAUCAUCUAACCCUAUUCCCCUGCCCUUUCUCUCUCUGCAUCCACUGCUUUCUCAUACAAUUAAUUAAAGGUAUGCUUCCUCUCCGGGAUUAAUUGGUUAUACAUUUUGCUGUGUAGAUCAUGUAUAUGUAUGCUGAAGAAAUCCAUGUCUUUGUAACUUUUUGUCCUUGCUGUACAGACACAAGAAGUAAUAUUAUUAAUUGUGUUUGGAUAGCCAAAUAAUGAUCAGAAAUUAUUUGCUUACAUCACAAAUAUAAUUUUCAAUACAUCUUUUUAUCUUUCCAAUUACCUUUUUAUCUCACAUACAUCACAUCACAAAAAGUGCUACAGUAAUUAUUCCAAAUAAUAUUUCAAAUAAUCUCCUAUCCAAACACCGAAAAUUGAGCUUUUGUUUAGAAGAAGAUUAACAUUUACAGUUGAAAUGCUAGAAGAAAAAAAUGAAGUAAACGUCAUAAUUAUUUUGUUAUGGAACAAAAUAAUUACAAGUUGUAACUUGUAAACCCUUGAUCCAACCAUUUUCUAGAUAUAAAAACAACUAGUAUCCAAAUCCUUACUACCGUCAGAUUUUAUUUUAAUUUUUUGUAUGUAUGUUUAUAACAAAGGAUUAUUAAGCACCCUAUUUUCGUCCAAUUCAAUUGUUGUUGUGUUUGGAUUUUUCAAAACACCCUAAUUUGUUAUUUAUUACCUUAGUUUUUUUUUUUUUUUGGAAAUAGUGGUGUCAAAACAUUCUCUGAUUCUCAGACAAAAUUUCCAAAAAUUUGGAGGAAGGGAGGUAGUUGUUAACAAUUUCAUGGAGGAGUCCACGUAAUGAACCGCAGACCUGAUGUAGUGGUUAUAUGCGGUGAGCGUGGAUCGAACACGCGACCUUCAGAUCUUCAGUCUGACGCUCUCCCAACUGAGCUAUCCCCGCGAUGGUGCUGAAGGAGUUUUCAAAGACUAUUGAAACAAAAAUACUAUCAAAAUCUCUGUUUCCCCAAUUUCAUAGAGGAGUCCAGAUAAUGCACAAAAGGAUCCAUCCGGUAAAGGGUUAGAUUCCGACACGAUGAAGUAGUUAAAAUGCGGUGAGCGUGGAUCGAACACGCGACCUUCAGAUCUUCAGUCUGACGCUCUCCCAACUGAGCUAUCCCCGCUAUGAUGCUAAAGAGGUUUUGUAAAAUUCUACCCUCAGUCUUUGUUUACAGCGCAAGACCCUCUCCCUGUCCCAAGUCCCAACAAAAAGACUAUUGAAACAGCUUGGACCUGGUGCUGCAGCACAGCAGCAUUUAUAAAAAAUCUCUCUGUUUCUUGUGGUGAUUGGAAGCAAUGAAUGCUUUCGCCUAUUUCGAGUCUUUUAAACCAACAGAAAAGUUAUACAUGAAGGUUACUCCAGAUCAGUAUGUUGAUCAGAUGAUUCCCACACUCCAAAGGAUUGUUGAAGGUACAUCAUCCACACCGACUUGUUGGUUUCCAUACAGCAAAUUCAUCCACUGCAUUCUGCAUUUGCUCGGUACGAGGAGAUAAUAAAGUUAGACGCACUUAAAGUAGAAAAUAUACAGCUUAAAGUUAGAUACACAAACUCAUCCAACACGAGAUCGAUGCUCUUUUUAUGACUCCCUCGAAUACUCCUAGCAUGAUUGGAUGCAGUUGAUUUACCCAUCCCAAACCCACAAUUAUAAGAACUUGUUCACUGGUUAUGACAUCAAUGUCUAAGAUGCUAUGGACGUCCCAUCACUUUCUUAAAUUGAGAGAAAGUAGCAACAAAGUUGAUCAAUUCUCUGAGGAACACAGGAAAGCAUUAUAAUUGGAACAUACCAGCAAGAAGUGCACAACCUAGACCUUCAAAUAGACGGAUAAAAAUCAAGAAAACGUUAGUUAAGUGUUUGAGGUGAGCCAUCAACUAGAAUAUGAGAAAUAGAUUGACCUUAUUCCUGGAAGAAUUCUUCAGAACUUUGGAAAGAAUUUAUAUUCAGAAGCCAAGCCAAGCAAUAAUUUCGUACCCAUACAAAAACACUCUCUAUAUCUUCAAUAUCAUUCUCUUUAUUGUCUGGAUUCACACACUGAAGGUUGUAACUCAAUCACUAUAGAUAACAUUCAGAAUUUGAAUACACAAGUCACUAUAGUAAACAGCUAUUGCCAAAUAGCUCAGUCAAAUGAGUCCAGAUAAAAACCUGCAAGCAUGCUCAGUGAUUAAAAAGCAUAUUUCAGCAAUGUAAAAAGCACAUAAAACACACAAGAAACUGUAGGGUUUUACAUUUCUUUAGCGUGUUUGGAAGAUCAAUUUGCUCCAUCACAAAAUAACUGUGUGAGUUUGACUAGGGAGAGUGUUAAUUAAGAGUUGAAAACAUUUAAAAGAAACAAACAAUGAUCAAGAAGUUGCAUGCCUAGAAGGAUGUAAAAACUCAGUCAUGGAACUCCGGAAGAAAGUAAAAACAAAACAAGGUACUUCUGAGAAUCUAUAUAUGACUAUAUGAGCACUCUCAGUCUCAGCCAAACCCACGAGGGGAUCCAUCCAGUAAAGGGUUAGAUCCUGACUCGAUGAAGUAGUAAAAAUGCGGUGAGCGUGGAUCGAACACGCGACCUUCAGAUCUUCAGUCUGACGCUCUCCCAACUGAGCUAUCCCCGCGACGAUGCUGAAGAAGUUAUGUAAAUGUCUACUGUCAGUCUCUUCUGUGAGGAAUAUCCUUUACGGACUGCAGUGUUUACCGCAAGGGGGCCAUCUGCAUUACAUAGUCGCAAAGCAUGUAAACCUUCAACUCUGGGGGUUAAAUUCUUUAGCACCAUUUCAUCAAAAGAUUUCAUUCAAAUCUCAUUUUCCAUCACUUCAAAUAAAUAGCAACUCCAAUAGCACUGGUUUGGUGCUGCUUCAAAAUAGAAGGAUACAGCAUCAAAACGCUUGUUCAGUUUCUUGAUAUCCAGUAUGAAAUUAUGAAAUAGAAGGACCUCACUUUGAAUGUCCAUCAUGGAGUCCAAUACUCAGAUUUUUCUUUACUUCGAGACAUUUGGCAAAUAUAUGGGAAUAUGAGUCCUCUCCCUUAACCACCAAACUAGUUCUAUCUCAACUAGUUCAAUAAUGGAGAUUAUUGGACUCAUGUUUCCAAAACCUAAAGUGAGGAUGAGAUGUGCAAAUAUCCAUAGCUCUAGCAUUAUUUGAUAAGCGUGAAAUUGAUAAAUGUAUUAUUUCAUCGAAGAAUAUGAACUGUGGAGUGGUGAAAUAUUACAAUUUGUAUUGGAUAUGAGACUUGCAAUGAGGAACAUAACAUAUAUUAUAUAUAAGAUUAAAUCUUUUCUAUAUUAACAUUAUAUAUUCCACGUUGACACGGGUAAAAUUUGAUAUUCAAAUUCAAGAUGAAACUAUUAACGUAUACACUGUCAUGUGUAACAAAAAUUAAUUCUUAAAUAUCACUCGUUACGCUAGAGAAAAAUUUUGUGCUAUUGUUUAGCUAACUACUACAAUACUCUAAUUUCGUAAACUUUCAAAAAAGUUGAUGAAUAGAUGGAUCUGUUGGUCGGAUUUGUGAACUCAAUAUCUAGCUAAUUAAACGGUCUAACUGUAUGGGCAAUGUUUAAUAACUAAGGUUCCGUUUGAUAAAACUGAAUCUGAAUUCUGAAAUCUGAAUACUGAAACAAUUAAUUUGCUAAAUUUUAAGCGCUGAAAAAAAAUGUGAAUGUCUGAAUUUUAAUGCUAAACCUAUUUAUACUGUUUGAUAAAUAUUUGUAGCUAAAUGCUUAAUAAGUUUAAUUUGAUAAUUUUGCCCUUAUAUCCUUUCAUUCAAAAAAGAAAUAGAAUCUAUGAUUUAAUUAGUUUAAAAUUGUUAGGUAUGAAAAUGACAAUAUUUAUUUUUAAAUCAAAUUAAUAUAAAAGAUGAAAUAUAUUAUAUGAGGAGUAUGGAGAAGAUAUGAAAGUCAUUAAAAAGGGAGAAAAGAGAAACUAUAAAUCGUUAGAUAGAGAAUAUUAGGUUGCUUAAUUAGAUAAGAAUUUUGAACAUAAUUAACAAACAAGGGUAGAUUUGGUAGAUAAGAUAAGGUAGUUGAAGUAAUUCUAUUGAUUCUUAUCAGAAUUAAGCAUUCAGUUAGGAUUCUUGUGUUGAAAAAAAUACACAUAGGUUCAGCACUGCUUAACAAGUUUAGCAAAUAGAUUUUCAUUUAUCAAACACUCAAAACAUCUGAAUGUUUGAAAAAAUUCAAAUUCAACACUUUUUUAUGUUAUCAAACAGACCCUAAAUUUGGUUUGCUAACCAUCUCUGUUCAUCUUCCCUCACCUCCCCCCCCCCCCCAAAACACAAAAAAAAAAAAAAAAAAAAACCCCACCCUCUCUCUCCUCCAUGCCAUCCAAUUAUUCAAUUGCCAAACCUGAGUCUCACCCUAGUGCUGCGUAAAGAAAAUAAAAGUAGACAGUCCACAAAUCCAUUCUGAAUUUGGAUUCAAGAAAAUAAAAUUACUACCAAACUUUCAUUUGCUUUUUAUUACGAAUUUAGGUAAUUAUUAUCAAAGUGAUUAUCGUAAUUCAAAUCAAUAUUGUUUUACCAGUACAAAAUUUUAACUCACUUAAGUUUAAGUAGCUCUUAGGGGAAAAAAAUUCCCUUUGAGAAACAGUUGUACAGACUUUCUAGUAAAUCUAUCCAACUUUCACUUCAUUAUUUGUGGUCAACAUUCUAUCCAACCACAUUCGGUAGAUGUUAACUAGGAAACACCAGUUAUUAUUUCGUACGUUUUUAGCUAGUUAAUUAUUUCCUUUUCUAUCCAAAAAAGGGAAAAUAGUUAAUUAUUUUGUUUUAUAUCGGACAAAAAAGAAAAAAAAAAGGAAGUUUGUCGACAAAAUAAGAGAAUUUCCUAUGUUCCCAAAUAACAAAUCCUAACGCAACCUGAUAACCCUAUACAUAUGAUAAAGAAUUAAGGAUAGAUUUUCUUCAUAAAUCAGAAUCCGAAUUGUAUAAGGAUUUCCAAUUCUCCAAAUACAAAACCAAACUCAGCCCGAUUAAAGCACUUAAAUUUUUCAUCAGGAGCCGAUCAAAGAAUUACGAUGACUGCUGUAGUUUGUCGAAAGAGAUCUUUCUUGGAAGAUAUUCAAUCGCCGUCUCCCCUGCCCAUCACCAAGAAGCUCCGCUGCUUUUCCCUGCCUCAUCCCGUUCAGGUUUCACCGCAGCAGCAGCGGCCAACCUCGCCAACCCUUCUUGAUCGGCUGAUAAUUGCUUUUCCUGACAUGGAUCGUGAGCUUCUUGAGAAAGCAGUGGAAGAAUGCGGCAGUAGCGACUUGGAUUCCACUAUUAAAAAGCUGCAUGAGCUUCGCCUUGGAUGUCAAGCAACCAUGUCGAGAGAUGUUUGCACGGCGAGCAAUAUUCUUCCGGUCGAUGGAGCGGGAUGGGUGGAACUGUUGGUGCAGGAGAUGAUGAAAGCUACGAGCAUAGAGGAUGCCAGAUCCCGUGCCACGAAGGUCUUGGAGAGCUUAGAGAAAUCCAUCAGUGCCCGUGUCCGAGCCGAUGCAGCAGAGGUUUUUGACAAGGAACAGAUUUCGAUGAAGGAGAAAAUUCAAGGGAUUGUGAAAGAGAAUGGGAUUCUGAAAAGGGCUGUGGCCAUCCAGCAUGAAAGGCAGAAGGAUUACGAUGGAAGAAAUCAAGAAGUGUAGCAGCUGAAGCAACUGGUGGCUCAGUAUCAAGAACAGUUGAGAAGUCUUGAGGCGAAGAAUUAUGCCUUGAGAAUGUACCAGCGCCAGGCUGAUCACCAAGGCAACUCUAUGAUCCCUGAUCACUUUAAUCCGGAUGUCUUUUAAGUUCAUAUUGUGAAGGAGUUAUUGAGUUUCUCUCAAUUGAUUCAAUGUUUUGAUCUUUCAAGAAAAAAGUAAACAAUGACAAUAAUUGUACUAUUUGUUUUAUUUUUGGCAUACAGUAAAAGAGUGAUUUGAAAAAGUCCUGUGAUAAUUAAUGCGGGACGGAUCUUCUAUCCCACACCCUGUGUCACAUCCUGUCCCACUCUUUAGAAUCUCGCCAAGUGUCCCUUAAUAAACCAAACCCUCAAACAACCCAACUCGGACCAUAUUAAAUUAAUUAAUUGAUUAACCGGACAGAAAACUUAAACCCAUUCAUUCUCUAUAACCAAACCGAUUAAAAUAAAAACUCUUUAACCAAAAUCACAAUUUAUCAAGAAAAAAACCCUAAAACCCAAACAACCUCUGUCCUCUUCUCAUCAUCUUCACCAUUCUUUAUAACCAAACCGAUUAAAAUCAAAUUGAAGAAAAAAGAUACAAUGGCGAAGCAGGAGCAGCAGCAAUGGAAUGCUUGUAGUAAUGGUAGUGAGGGAGCGAUUGAUAGUAGCAGUUGUAUUAGUAGAAACAGCAGCAAUGGCAAUAGCAAUAGCAAUGGGGGUUUGCAAUUGCAGUCUUUUUUCAAAUCCAUAUUUUCCAAGACUAACGACGAAAACAGUUUCAGAGAACGGAGGAGUAAGAGCUUCUUUGUCAAAAGAGACGGUGGUCAUUCCGAUGACUAUGGAAACAACGACGACGGUUCCGCAUGGGCUAAGCUGCCCGUUCCUCAUCUUUCUCCUCCCGCUCGUUCCGUGAUCUCCCGUUGUUCCAAGUAAUCAAUUGGAUUAAUUUCUUUUUCUACUCUCUUUCUCUGACAAGCAUUUUUUCAUACAUUUGACGGUCAUAUAAAUCUGCAUUCGCCUUUUAUUUGUAUAAUGGCCUAAAUGUAUUUGUGAUUAUUAUUAUCAUUAUUAAGUAGGAAAUUAAUGUACCCUGAUUUUGCGUAUACUCUAUUGAAUUUAAGGCCAAAAAGUUUCUGCAAAUGUAAACAAGGAAAUAGCUGAGCUCUGCAGCGAGCAAUUGUGUGAUAUCAUUAAAAGAAAUUUCAUCAUUUUGUUAGCAAAGACACUUUGUCUUGUAUAGUUGUUUUAACGUGUGUGUGUGUGUGUGUUUGUGCGUGUUUGUGUUAAUCAAUACGAAGAAACAAUUGACCAAACAAUAUUCUUGACAGAUGCUGAUUGCUUAGUAGCUAUAUAAGUAGCCAUUUUGAGAUUAAAGUUCAAUAUCAAUGCAUUAGACCAACUCUGAACUCAUAUAGAUUAUUCUAUUCUUGUUCUUGAAUAUUUCAGGCUUCCAGAGCAGAAUUUCGGCCAAAGAAUAAAUUACUGAUACUGGAAAAAAAAAGAAAAAUAUUUUCAUUUCUUGAAUUUGUUCUGCGUUGUGGAAAGUCGUCAGAUUGGUCAUUGGCAAAAUCACAUGAAAUUGAUUCUGAGUCUUUGAAUCAAGAUGGCUGCUUGGGAAGGUCAAGAUCUCUUGCAAGGCUUAAUGCCCAGAAGGAAUUCUUGAGGGCAACUGCUCUUUUGUCUGAUAGGACAUUUUGCACUGAAGAAUCCAUUCCUGAAGCCUUCAAUAAGUUCUUGACUUUGUACCCAAAGUUCCAAUGUUCAGAAACAAUUGACCAAUUGAGACUUGACUUUGUACGGGUUGUUUUCUUAUUUUCAAACGCUACAUUAUUGGGAUUCAUCUGCAUUUCGCUUAAAGGAAAUUACUGCAAAGCUAAAGCCUGUGCAACAACCGCAAAUUGAAAGACAAAACCAACUUUACAAUCUUAAUUCUUCAUCACAAAAUGCUGUAUCUCUCACCUGAAACUAUCAAUUAAGCAUACCCUUUUAACUCAUAAAGCUUAGGCUUUGGUGUUAUGUAUCUUGAUAAGAAGGGCAGAAACAAAGCAUUGGGAAGUACCAAAUAGCAUAAAGGAACCAAACUGUAGCCAAAGAAAUAGAUAAAUGCUUAUUUAGAGUCAAUUGGACACUUUCUCAAGUUGAACAGAUUCACUAAUGCCACAAAGAGGCCUAUUCUUCACAAGAGCAAUAACUUCAUCCACUUAACCGCUUGUAUCAAGCUCUCCUAAAAGCUACGGCAUCUUUGAAUGGUAGCAGUGAAAAACUAGAGCUAAUUGAAAGAAAACUCUACUUGUAGUUCAUCUCUUUCCAGAUGUACAAAUGUAAGAUUCAAGAUCUUUUUUAGGCCAGAAUUAAGCCGUAAGUCAUCUCAAACUCAAACCUGUCAACAUCUAAUCUCUUUCAAGGCUAGAAAAAUUGAGAACCAAUUUGAACAUAUUAAAUUAGUUGAUGAAUCAAAAAUAUAGAAAGAUCUGUUGAGCUUGGAGGUCAAUCAAAGGAUUGUCAUUUAUCAACAACAGUAAGAAACAAAUUUUUCUAAUGUCUGAGAAAAUGUAGCAACCAAUUUAAAUCUGCUUCUGCUUAUCCAAGCCCAAAAGCAAUUGACAAAGUCAAUAAUUUCAACAGACUCCAAACUCAGAAACACAUGGUGGAAUUGAAGGAUCAAAUGAUACCUACCAGUUCUUUUAUACAUUCCAUACAACACAAAGCUAGCAUACACAAAAAGUUGAAAGAUACAAAACAUUAAGAUAUCUCCAUGAGGAUCAAAUGAUACCUACCAGUUUUUUAAUACAUUCCAUACAACAAAAGGCUAGUAUAAACAAAAAGCUUUGGAGUGUUUCAUAUAUAAAAAGUCAUAAGAAAAAAAUUACCUUAAUGAUCUUCACUUACAGGAAUUAUCUAUAGAUAUUCAGAAAUUUGAUGAAGCUCUUAAGAAAAUUUUUAAGUUUUUCAUUUGUUUAAUAAUAGGCACUCAAUUAUCUUGUGUUGUGUUAGGUUUACCUGUUGUUUGGUUCCAGGACAAAAUAUCAAUUCCCUUAUAUUACUUGAUGCUUAUUAUUGCUUUUUGUUUUAUGGUCUCUCUGGGAAAUAUAGACUAAACAAAAAGGGCCAAACUAGCUUGGAGUGUUUCUUACUCCUCGGUUCUCUGAAGCUGUUUUCGUCGUUAGUCUUGGAAAAUAUGGAUUUGAAAAAAGACUGCAAUUGUAAACCCCCAUUGCUAUUGCUAUUGCCAUUGCUGCUGUUUCUGCUAAUACAACUGCUAUUAUCAAUCGCUCCCCCACUACCAUUACUACAAGCAUUCCAUUGCUGCUGCUCCUGCUUCGCCAUUGUAUCUUUUUUCUUCAAUUUGAUUUUAAUCGGUUUGGUUAUAGAGAAUGGUGAAGAUGAUGAAGAGAGGACAGAGGUUGUUUGGGUUUUAGGAUUUUUUUUCUUGAUAAAUUGUGAUUUUGGUUAAAGAGUAUUUAUUUUAAUCGGUUUGGUUAUAGAGAAUGAAUGGGUUUAAGUUUUUUGUCCGGUUAAUCGAUUAAUUAAUUUAAUAUGGUCCGAAUUGGGUUGUUUGAGGGUUUGGUUUAUUAAGGGACACUUGGCGAGAUUCUAAGGAGUGAGACAGGAUGUGACACAGGGUGUGGGACAGAAGAUCCGUUCCGUAAUUAAUGUACAUGAUAAUUUGACUGUUAUAUGCCUCCAAGGACAGGCUCAAAAUUUGAAUCACGUCCUUCAAAACUUUGGUUGCAGCGGAAUCAUGUGUGUGAAAUCACAGUGGAAAACACACGCUUUUUUGCCACCCAAAUCCCUCUAACCUGUAACGUUUUCAUAGAUUCCAUUUGUUUUGUGCAAGAUUGAUAUAAUCUAUUUGCACGAAGGUUUAGAUGCUUAACUAUUAGAUACAGCACACAUACAAGUAUAUUAAAUAUAGAAUUAAUAUUUUAUACGCUGACGGUGUAUACAUUUUCAUCAUUGGAUGCAUGACACAUAAUCCGAAUUUGAAUUUGAAACCCAAAUUUUGUACACGUGUCAUGUAUCCAACCGUGAUAAUGUAUACACUGUCAGUUUAUAUAAGAUCUAUUCAUAAAUAUAUUUAACAUAAUUUUUCUCAUAAAUUCAAAUAUAAUUAUUCGAGUUUUUGUCUUUUGCACAAAAUACAAAUACGUUACCUAACAUCUAGACGCUGCAUUUUUUGUUUGUAUGCAAAUUUUAGGACAAAAGAGUAAUGAUGUGUCUAUUUCAAGUUAACUGGCAAGUCACAAGGCAUGGUAUACUAUUCACUAUGACCUAACUAGCAAGGGCUAUUAGAAAAAUAUAAGAAGAGGGAGGGAUAGCAUGAUAUUUUCUUAUACUCUCAAAGAUAAAUUUUAUAUUGUUUGGAUAGGGUAUUAUUUGAAAUAUUAUUUGGAAUAAUUACUGUAACACUUUUUGUGAUGUGAUGUAUGUGAGAUAAAAAGGUGGUUGGAAAUAUAAAAAAGUGGGUUAGAAAAUGUGUUUAUGAUGCAAGCGAAAUAUUAUUUGAGAUAAUAGUACUAUCCAAACACUGCAUUUCGUGAAUACAUUUUUCAAUUGUUUUUUUACUUCAUAUAUAUCAAAUCACUAUAAUAAUUUUUCUACAAAAAAUCCACAAUAAUGCAAUCCAAACAAGACUAUUUUCCCCUAAAUUACUGGCAAAUGAGACAUAGAAGGUUAGUAGUUCAAUUUGAAUGCAGCUAAUUCAAAAGCCUUAUUGUCUUGUUUCCUUUUUUCCUUCUUUAAUGUGGAACACAAUGGCAAGAUUUAUUUUUGCUCCUUUAAUCUAAUUAAGUUUGUAAGUACUGAUGAACCUGGAGUUGAAUAUCUUAUAUACUUGGCAAAAUAAUUGUUUGGAUAGAGUAUUAUUUGAAAUAUUAUUUAGAAUAAUUACUGUAGCACUUUUUAUGAUGUGAUGUAUGUGAGAUAAAAAGGUAAUUGAGAAUAUAAAAAUGUGGAUUGAAAAAUGUGUUUAUGAUGCAAGCAAAAUAUUAUUUGAGAUAUUUGUGCUAUCCAAACAUAAUUGAGAAUCAUUUCUAUAAUAGGGCCAAUAAUUGAGAAUUUUGGUGCUGGUUAUCUGUAUCUUUCUAACAUUGAUGUUAGUUGGAUUUUACGAGAGGCAAAUAAAGUUACACGUAGAUUGACGCCUUACACUAAAACGGUGAACUUGUUCAAUCUCCGCGGUAUUCGUCUUCAACUUUGUUCAUUAAUUUGUGCUGAUGAUUUCCAAUGAUCUUAGCAAUAAAACGUCUCCUUUAUCAAAAGGAGAACUGAGCGUGAUUUGCCUUCCCUUGGCUGCAAAUAAAUAUUUUUUGUCCUUUUUUCUCAAUUCUUUGUUAUGACGCCCAAAAAUACCAAAUUCGUGUACUAAAUUUUCUAAAUUGAUGCAAUAGAUUGAUUGGUCUCUAUUUGUUGGUUACUUAAGAUUAUAAAUUAUUAAGAUCUAACAACCUAUACCUAUAAGAGCUUAUAUUAAAGUUAUAGACGUUUUCUCAAUUCCUUAUAAACACUUGGCUUUAGCUUUUAAUUUUACAGAAGUUAUUUUCUUCUACUCCCAAAAGUGUGUUUGGAUUGUAAAUUAUUUGAGAUAAUUUUGUGAAGAAAGUACUGUAGCACUUUUUUGAUAUGAUAUAUGUGAGAUAAAAAAGUAAUUGAAAAAUGUAUUAAUGAUGCAAGCAAAUUAAUGUGUGCAAAUAAGGUGUAAAUAAAGCGUAAUAAUUUACAAUCCAAACACAUUCGCCCUGCUUUUAGUCUGUUGAGAGCCAAGAAGUAAAUAAGAAACAACAUAGGAAGAGUUUUGGCCUAUUAUCUUCUGAUUUCCGUAAGCAAUUGAAAACAGGUCAAAAUGGCUUUGGCCGGGUGAGGAUUUUAAGAAAAUUUAUGCCUACUAAUGAUUAUUUUGUUAAAAUAAAACUAUCAAAAUAGGACGGACGAACAAAAUCAUAACUUCAUGGGUACAACUUAAUAAGGCAAAAAAACUUCGACACACCACCUUACCUCACUAACGUCUAAUAUAGCAUAUCGCUUAUUUUAAGAGGAAAUGUGUCAAAACUUGGACAGCCCUCUACUUAAAGGCUUUAAUUCUAGUUAAUUUACCAAUUAAAUAGAGAUAUUAUGCCAUUAGUAUGGUCAAAAAUUUGAAUAAUGUGUAAUUAAAAAGAUAAUUCAAAGCAUUUGCUAAUCAUUAAGUAGAUAUUUAGUCAUUAUAUCCUUAUUAAUACUCAGCAUAUAUUAGUAAGACUUUUCAAGUAAAUAUUGUAGUAACUGCCUUCUUUGUCUUUAAGACAAAAUUAAGAACCAGAAUUGCUAUAAAAUUCAUAUUUAGUGAUUUUUUCUGAAUCUAUCUCUUCCUUAGAAUCAUCUUAACCUAACUAUUGCAUUCUUUAUGUCACAAAAAAAAAGCAAAAAAAAAAAAAACUAUUGCAAUUUUGAAUUGCGUUAACCUAUAUGCUUCAAAAAACUUUUUUUUUCUUUUUUGUUCCCUAAUUAGCCUUCAAAUUGAACUGGACUAAUGUCAGUGAGACUUUCAAUAUCCUCUGCAAAAGUGCCAACUCGGCAAUAUAUGUCCCUGACACAAUCACAAUUCUCAUAACGUUUUAAAAAUUCGAAUUUCAAAAUCCUCAAAUUAAACAAAUUAGAAAAAAUUAAACAACUUCAAACCCUCCCUUGCUAAAACGACAGCUUCCCGUCUAAAAGUCUAAAACCACACAGACAAACUCUCAAAGGUCGAAUCAUGCUUCCGUAUAAUUGGUCAGUCACUCUUCAGCCUGUCACCCUUACUCCCCAAAUUCAAACAAUUGUAGAAAAAGCUCUUCUGGCCCCCACUCGUCGUCCGCUCCCAACGAAUACCCAAGCCUGUUGAUCCAACGGUCCAGAUCUCUUCUCAAUUCAAAUCAACCCCUUUUCCCCGCCUCAAAAGCAUCAUCGAUAACUCAUUAAAUAACACCCAAAUAUUCCCUUCCCCAAAAUAAAACACGCACGACACGCACUAAUCUCUCCUUAUUUCACCCUCAUCACUUUCCUUCCCCAGAAAAACACGCACAACACACACUAGACUGAACGGAAGCCUCUGUAAAUUUCUUACUCAAUUUUACUUGGAAAGAAAAAAGAGCACCAAGUUUUUCGUGAAAUUUCGUUCUCGCCACUAGAACGAAAUUGAGUUGAGGGGAAAAGAUGUCGACGGCGGCGGGGCAGAACCAGAGCCGGCGGUUCACGUCGUCGACGGCGUCAUCGUCGGCAAAGAGGUCUUCAUCGUCGGACAAUGUGGGGAAGAUGGUGGCGUCAGGAUUGCCUUCUCAGCAACAUUUGGCCAAGAAAAGGCCAGCUCUUGCUAACGUCACCAAUCAAAGGGCACAGGGGAAUUUCAGUAAUAACCGAAGCACGCUUUCGGAGCCCUCCAAAAUUGUAUGUUUUUAUGGGUAUUUUUUUGGAUUUAAUUUUCUGGGUUUUCUUUUUCUUUGAGUUUUAUGGGAGUUUCUUGGGUUUGUCCUUAGUCUUUUUGGGUUAAUUUUGAUAAGUUCUGAUUUUUUUUGGGGUUGAAUGUAGGUGAACUAUGUGGAAAAAAAAAGGAACGUUGAUGAAUUAUGGAGUGAAUUGAAUUGGGAUUAUAGAGAAGAUUUAUUAGUGUGAUUUUCUGUGAAUUAAGGGCAAAGAACGAAGGUUGUUUUACCGUCUCUGGCGUCGCGUGUAAUUUAGUCUGCAGAAACUUGUAUGAUGAAGUUUUUCUCCACAUUUGUCGGGAAAGAUGUAUAAAUAUCUUUGCUUUUAUAUGACUACAAAGUGUUUCAGUUGUUCAAUGCGAUCAUGAGUAGAGUGUACAACGAUUAGAAACUAAUUAAAAUUAUUCACUUUAGUAUCUGCUUUUUUGGUCAACUCCUUUUCCUUGAUUUUGUUUCUUGAUGUUUGAGCAUAUUUUGCUGGAGGUGAAGAAAAUGUACAUAUUGAUUAGCAGCUGUUGACCUUAACUACGUCUGUCAACUCUUAUCUUUUCUAGGUCAUACAGCCGAUAAAGAUAUGCAGAUCAAGAAAAGACAGUUUAUCUAAUAUUAUGUGUUUUGCAUUUUGAAGUCACCAUGUACUGCUAAAAUCGUGAGCAUCAAGAAGGGGGCUCCUACGAGCAAUAUUAGUAAUGCAGGCAUCUCAGCGGCUACUCUGCCAGCUUCCUCCUUUAUGAAACCAAACAUAGUUGCUUGCAGUAAAAGUGCAUUAACUGAUGCAAUUCUUCCUGCAAUUGCCGGCCCUGUCCCUUGCAGCAUGGAUGUAUCCCCAACACAAUCAGAGGGACUUUCUGUUUCGAUGGACGAGUCAAUGUCUACUUGUGAUUCCUUGAACAGUCCUGAAGUUGAGUAUCUGGACAACAAUGAAAUAACUGCAGUUGAUUCCAUAGAGAAGAAGGCAUCAACCAAACUCUGCAUCUCUGAUCAUGUCCAAUCUCCAGGUUGGAUUUCUUGAUUGUGGUCAUGAGAAAUUAAUGCACCGCUUUUGUGGGGUAGCUUAAGCAAUUACUGUCUUGAUCCUUGCAGGGAUUAUAUGUAAAAGAGAGGCACUUUCAGAGGUGGUAUCAGAUGAUGACAUAAUUGAUGUUGAUGACAAUCUAAUGGACCCACAGUCAUGUGCAACCAUAGCCUGUGAUAUAUACAAACACUUGCGAGCAUCUGAGGUUUGAAAUUUUUCUUUGGAAGCAAAUAAAGACGUAAAAAGAUUCAAUGUCAAAGAUACUUGUUUUACUUAGAUGCUUAUGCUGGACCCUUAAUUGUUCAUUGGCAUGUUUCAUAUCAGCUAUUUCAAGUUAAUCCUGUACUCUGCAGUAAUAUGCAUUUCAUGAGCAAUUGGCUUCAAUAUAAAAUUCAACUUUGAUAAAACCAUUUGCCAUCUCUUCAGCUUUAAAGACAUAUUAUUUAUAAGAGAACUUUUUGACAUCUCUUCAGCAACUGACUUGAAUAUAAAAUUCAAUAUUUUCCUCAUGAGCCACUUAUGUCUGGUUUCUUAUUCUUUCAUUAUGCAAUUUUAGGUGAAGAAAAGGCCUGCUAUAGAUUUCAUGGAAAGAGUACAGAAAGACAUUAAUGCCAGCAUGCGUGCAAUUCUCAUAGAUUGGCUUGUUGAGGUAAAUUUUUUUUUUUAUCUCGAUAACCUAUUAGCUUAUGUUUCUCUUGUUUCCUCAGUUCAUGCAUUAAGGGGAAUGAGUUGUCUAAAUAGCGAAUAAUUACAUUGAUCGUUAUCUAUCAUAGGAUGUUUCUUGGCCUUUAUAUGUUUUGUGACAAGAAAGUGGCUCUCUUACAACUUUUUCUUUAUUAUAGGUUGCUGAGGAGUACAGGCUGGUUCCCGAGACAUUGUAUCUUACGAUUAACUACAUUGAUCGUUAUCUAUCUGGCAAUGUGAUGGACCGACAAAGAUUGCAGUUGCUGGGUGUUGCUUGCAUGAUGAUUGCCUCGUAUGCUAAGACAUCAUGGCCUUCUCUUGUUUUAUCUAUUUUAUUUGGAUCUGAUGCACUAUUUGAUCAAGACCCGUCCUAUCUUUUCUCCAUGUCAUUUUGCUGUAGCAAUUAUGCUGUAAGUGCAUAAUGCAGCCUUCUUAAUCUUUAACUGAGGAAACUAUGCUUAAUUUUGCCAGGAAAUAUGAAGAGAUUUGCGCACCUCAGGUAGAAGAGUUCUGCUAUAUAACUGAUAACACAUACUUUAAGGAUGAGGUUUGACUUUUAUUAUGAUUUGGCUUUUAUUAUGAUUUGAAGUUCUAGAAUUCCUCUAAGCACUGUCUAUUCUGCAGGUUUUGGAAAUGGAAUCUGCUGUCCUGAAUUACUUGAAGUUUGAAAUGACUGCCCCUACAGUUAAAUGUUUCCUAAGGUGAUGGUUAUGCUUUAUACUCAAUUGUUAUUAAGCUGAUCUUGCUAUUAACUUUGCCCUAUUUUGCACUAUUUUGCAGGAGAUUUGUUCGUGCUGCUCAGGGUCUGGUAGUCCAUGAGGUAUGUCGUUAUAUUAAAACAAGUUACAAUAUUUUGGAUGUGGAAUUUUUCUAUUGAAUUCAGCUUAUAGUUUCCCAAUGUAUAGCUUAUUUGAACACCUCAAGUAAUACGAGCAGAGUUAUUAAUUGUCAAAUGGUUCGUUAGGAAAUUCGAGCAGAGUUUCUUAACCCAGAAAACUUUCUCGUUCAUACUUGUUAAAUUAUUUUUGGAUUUAAGUAAAACUCAGCUUCCUUGCACCCUUACAUGUAUUUUGCACCAAAGUUUCCUUGUACAUUUCUAUUCCAUCAAAUUACAUAUCUUUUUGUACAACAAUUACAUUUCUUUCUUUUUUGUGUGUGCCCUUUAUGGUCGCAGGCUCAGUCACUACAGUUGGAGUGUUUGGCCAACUACAUUGCAGAGCUAUCUCUUCUCGAGUACAGUAUGCUGUGUUAUGCACCGUCACUCAUAGCAGCUUCUACCAUUUUCUUGGCCAAAUACAUACUUGUCCCUGCAAAGAGACCUUGGGUAUGUUAUUGUGAACGAAAAAUAGAGUACUUACAGGUCUUACAGAUACUAAUUAUUGACUCGUAAACGUCUUCUCUGCUUGACUUUUGGUACGUUGUCUGUUACAGAACUCCACAUUGCGGCAUUACACUCUGUACCAGCCCUCUGAUUUGCAUGACUGUGUCAAGGCUCUGCAUAGCCUUUGUAGCGGCAGUCACAACUCCAGUUUACCUGCAAUCAGAGAAAAAUACAGUCAGCAUAAGGUGUGCAUGUUUUUUCUCUCGCAACAAGGUUUUUGUUUCGCUUGCACAAAAAUAAUGCUCGUCUGAUGAUGUUAGUAAAGCGGUAGGAUAGAACAUUCACAUCAAAUAUUCUGUGUAUAUAAGCCAAGAACAUUCACAUCAAAUAUAAGCCAAGAACAUUCACAUCAAAUAUAAUCCAAACAGGGUUGAAAAUCUGUGUAUUUGCAUAAUGCUGCCAGGCUUUUUGACUGAUAUUCUGUUUUCUGAAUCAGUACAAAUUUGUUGCAAAGAAGUACUGCCCGCCAUCAAUACCUCCGGAGUUCUUCCAGAAUGCUAGCUGAGAGUGUAACAUUUAACCGUUCAACCAUCCGUUGGAUGAAAUUUGAGUGCAUUCCAUCACACUCAUUAGUCUCCUUUGCAGAUUCUCGGAUAUGAUUUGUGCUCUGAUAAUCUGGCAUUUUUCAUGGAAAGCCAGCAGGUGCCUUGUACCGAUGCUAUAAUCUUUGUUACGAGUACCAAACAACUUGGUCCAGAUUUCUUUCUGACAUCUGAUGUACAGAUUAGCCAUAUAAUUGCUUCUUGAGUAAUGCCCCUUUCUUUAGAGGGUUUGUUAGUUUGAUUGUCUUCUAUGAGAUGAAACUCAUUCCUGCAACAAGUGGAAAGAUACCAACUGAUCCCUCCAUGAGUCAUUUCCAGUUUCCAUUUUGCAGCAAAACAUGAAGUAGUUUAGGACAACAAUCUACUUUAUUGUAAUGCACAACAUUUACAUAAAUAAGCUCAUCAGUACAUCAUUGUACUCAUCAAAAACUAGAACAAAGUGCUAAGUGCUAGAGUACAUGAUUACAAGAAAAGCAAGUGUUUGUCCACUCAAUGAGAACACUGAGGUUUAACAGGUGCAGAGUACAGGCUUGAAGAGUUGGGGCUUAUAUUGAGCCAGUGACAAUCCUCGAAAGAACAUGUUGUUCCGCCAUUAG
rnacentral:lncRNA from 1 species